GGCAGUGGGCCUUAUAAACCACUGCGCGCCCCUCUCAACUAGCGAGGUUGGACUAAACUUUGGCCGCGACGCGGGCAGCACAGGGGCCUUUGGUACUGGUUCGUGGCACCAACCGAUACCAAUGCCCACCCUUUAGUCCUGGUUGGUGCCACCAACCCGGACCAAAGGCCGCCCGCUUCCCGCCCUUUGGGCUCCUGAAAAGUGACCUUUGGUCCCGGUUGGUGGAACCAACCGGGACUAAAGGGGGGCAUUGGUACCGGAUGGUGCCACGAACCGGUACCAAUGGCUUUGCUAUAUAAGCCAGCAGUUGUGAAAAUUUCGUCAGUUUCUUCGAUUCCUCCGACGACGACGCCAGGCUGCCCGAGCUCGCCGUCGUCGGCCCUACCCCGACACGCCGCCGUUGCCCGGCCCGACCACGCCGUCGUCGCCCCUCGCCCCCCGACCACGCCGCGCGCCCCUACCCGCCCCGUCGCCGCCGUCNNNNNNNNNNNNNNNNNNNNNNNNNNNNNNNNNNNNNNNNNNNNNNNNNNNNNNNNNNNNNNNNNNNNNNNNNNNNNNNNNNNNNNNNNNNNNNNNNNNNAUGAAAAAUAACAAAUGAAAUCAGAAAAGGUUGUAAAUUGAUGACGUGGCUUUGAAUUGUGCAUUUUGAACACAGAAAAACUAUGGAGUUCAAAUAAGUUCAAAAAAAAGAAAUUCCUUUGGAACAGACGAGUUUCCGUAUGAAACCGUGGUACUUCGAAAGAGAUUGUCCGUUUUGUACACGAAGUGCAUCCAGUUUUURCCGUAACCCUCUYAACUUUCUCGCACAUGCUAUGUGGGUGAAAUGAUGAUACCAUGCCAACUUGAAACCUUUUCAGAGUUCAUUUCAAAUGCUUUUCAAUUUCAUGGUCUUAUAGCUCAUAAUAAUCAGUAAAUGCAUGAAAAAUAACAAAUGAAGUCAGAAAGGGUUGUGAAUUGAUGAUGUGGCUUUGAAUGAUGCAUUUUGAACACAGAAAAACUAUGGAGUUCAAAUAAGUUCAAAAAAAUGAAAUCCAUUUGUAACAGACGAGUUUCCGUAUGAAACCAUGAUACUUCGAAAGAGAUUGUCCGUUUUGUACACGAAGUGCAUCCAGUUUUUGCCGUAACCCUCUCAACUUUCCCGCACAUGCUAUAUGGGUGAAAUGAUGAUAACAUGCCAACUUGGAACCUUUUCAGAGUUCAUUUGAAAUGAUUUUCAAUUUCAUGGUCUUAAUGGCAAAAGGAAUUAUCAUAAAAUAAAAUAAAUAAGUAAUUAGAAACAAAAAAAAAUAGGUAUUUUGUUGUAAGGAGAAACAAAACAAAAUAAGCUAACUAAAAAAAUAAAACAAAACAAAAAUAAAGACAGAAAACAAAACAAAAAUNNNNNNNNNNNNNNNNNNNNNNNNNNNNNNNNNNNNNNNNNNNNNNNNNNNNNNNNNNNNNNNNNNNNNNNNNNNNNNNNNNNNNNNNNNNNNNNNNNNNCGCGCCCCUACCCGCCCCGUCGCCGCCGUCGCCGCCAUUUGCCCCGUCGAUCACCGUCGCCCCUGCCCCGACCACGCCGCGGUCGCCGCCCUACACCGACGUCGGCGCCGUGCCCCUCCUUGGUCAGGCCGGCGCCGCCCACCCUGUCCCCUCCUUUGUUCAUAUAAAUGAUGAUUUGUUUUUUUCAUUUUUAUAAAAAUGUAUAUAUGUAUGUAUGUUCUCUGUGCAUAUAAAAGUUAGAUUUUUAGUUACAUUUGGGUACAUUUUAGGUUAGUUUUAUCUAUAUAUGUUCUCUGAUUUAGUACAUUUUUAGGUUAGUUUCAUUUUUUAAAAARKUUUAAUAUAUUUAGGAAAAGAAGGAAGAGAAGGAAGAAGGAAGAAGAAGAAAAGUUUUAUAUAUGCAAAAUUUAACUAUUUUUAGUAAAAGUAUUAUAUAUAGCUAGGAAGAUAACGAAGAAGAAGAAAAAGAAUGAGAGGAGAAAAAGGAAAAUAAGAAGAGGAAGAAAGGAGAAGAAGAGGAGAGGAAGAAGAGGAGAAAUAAAUAAGAAGAGGAAAAAGGAAGAAAAAGAAGAGGAGAAGAAGAAAGGAAUAGAGGAGAAAGAAGAAAAAAAUAAGAAAAAAAUUCUUAUNNNNNNNNNNNNNNNNNNNNNNNNNNNNNNNNNNNNNNNNNNNNNNNNNNNNNNNNNNNNNNNNNNNNNNNNNNNNNNNNNNNNNNNNNNNNNNNNNNNNUGUGUUCAAAAUGCACCAUUCAAAGCCAUAUCAUCAAUUUACAACCCUUUCUGACUUCAUUUUUUAUUUUUCAUGCAUUUAUUGAUUAUUUUGAACUAUAAGACCAUGAAAUUGAAAAGCAUUUGAAAUAAACUCUGAAAAGGUUCCAAGUUGGCAUGGUAUCAUCAUUUCACCCACAUAGCAUGUGCGAGAAAGUUGAGAGGGUUACGGCAAAAACUGGAUGCACUUCGUGUACAAAACGGACAAUCUCUUUYGAAGUAUCACGGUUUCAUACGGAAACUCGUCUGUUACAAAGGGAUUUCUAUUUUUUUGAACUUAUUUGAACUCCAUAGUUUUUCUGUGUUCAAAAUGCACCAUUCAAAGCCACAUCAUCAAUUUACAAACCUUUCUGACUUCAUUUGUUAUUUUUCAUGCAUUUACUGAUUAUUAUGAGCUAUAAGACCAUGAAAUUGAAAAGCAUUUGAAAUGAACUCUGAAAAGGUUCCAAGUUGGCAUGGUAUCAUCAUUUCACCCACAUAGCAUGUGUGAGAAAGUUGAGAGGGUUACGGACAAAAACUGGAUUGUCUACGUUACGUUANNNNNNNNNNNNNNNNNNNNNNNNNNNNNNNNNNNNNNNNNNNNNNNNNNNNNNNNNNNNNNNNNNNNNNNNNNNNNNNNNNNNNNNNNNNNNNNNNNNNAACUUAAGGCAACCAUUAGUCCAUAGGAAUUGUCAUCAAUUACCAAAACCACAUAUGGAGAUAUAUGCUCUAACAGAGGGAAGCAGAGGUUGUCAUGCCCUUUUGAGGUUUGAAUGCAUGUCCUCUUAGUGCGGAGGAACGUAACUUUAUAUUGCCUCCUGUGAUAAAGAACUUUAUUAUGCAAUGUGUCGCUUUUAUGUCUUCCUCAUCACAGGUUCGUACAAAGCUUAUUUUCCACACACUAAUAGAUCAUACAUAUUAGAGAGAAAAUUUUAUUGCUUGCACCGAUGACAACUUACUUGAAGGAUCUUAUUCAAUCCAUAGGUAGGUAUGGUGGACUCUCAUGGCAAAACUGGUUGGAGGUUUAUGGAUGCACAAGUAGUAUCUCUACUUGGUGCGGGAGUUUUGGCUAAUAUGAGGUGGAAGCAAUCGUCACAUGCUAAGGGAUCUCUAAUCAUAUAAAAUUGUUUGGAACCAAGCAAACACAAUUCAUUAUGUUGUCUUCCUUGUCCAACAUCUACUCCUAGGCAUGUAAUAGUUUGGUGAGUGCUCACAAUUGUAAAAAGUGUCUAAGAUGAUAUAUUUAUAUGUGAAACUCUCUUUCCUUAUUACUUCUUAUUAAUUGCAACAAUGACUAAGGUCUAUGUUGAUUUAUUCUCAACAAGUUUCAAUCAUCAUACGUGUCAUAAGUGAAGUUAUCACUUUCCAUAAGAUCGUCUCAUGAUCUUUCAUGCUAUCGUUAUUUUCAUACUUUUGAUCAUGGCAUAAAGCAAAGCCCUUGACUACACUCUUUAUUAUAUAGGUCGUAAGCUCGAAUACAUCGGGGGAGAGACAAAAGCAAAAUACUCAAACUAAAAAUUAAAGACUUAUUCCUCUAAAAGAAGAAAUAAAAACUGAAAAGGAAAGAACUAAAGCAAAGGUAAAAGCAAAAGAUAUAAUGGUGAUACGAUACCAGGGCAACUCCCCCAAGCUUGGCAGAAGCCAAGGGGAUUGCCCAUACCAAUGCUUAGUUGUCUUCCUUUGGUGGUGAUGGUGGUGUUGUUGGAGUAGUCUGAUCCUCCGUCUUCCAAGGCAUAGGUGCUCCAUCAUGGCAGGAUGAACGAGUCGCCGGAAUCCUCAAAUCUACGACCAACCUUAUUGAUUUAAAUCUGUAAUCAUACUCACAGUUUUGAUUCUGCAGGUCAUAGAUCUGGCCCUGAAGUUGGUCAACCCUAUCGUAGAGCCUGGAGAGGUGUUUCCCAAUAUCAAUGGCAUCCAUCUUGUGAAUGCUAGUGAACUCCAUGAUCAUCGUGUGGUUGGCGUUGAGUCCACGCUCCACCAUCCCUUGGCACUUGAAGACUUGUUGCUCCAUUGCUUUGAGCCUCGUCUCCACGCUUCCGGUCUUCUUAGGCCCCUCAACAUCACGGAUGUGCAACAUCCCCUCGCUCAUCUUGAUAGAUUGAGGGUGUUUCAGCACUUCCGUGAGGUAGGGAUUGAUGACCUUCUCGAAGAUCUUGUGCUUAGGAGCGUUUGGGGAAGUCAUGAUGAUCUAGAUCUGUCACAGAAACAGGCUCGAAACGAAAACAGAGGAAAACUAUGCGAUACGGAGAUCAAAACCUUCGGGCGACUAUAUAUUGAUUUUUCUGGGCCAGAAGGAGUCCUCCGCAAGAAAACGGAGUCCAGGAGGCACACGAGGUGCCCACAAGCUUGCCCUUCGCCACCAGGGGGGUAGGGGCGGUGGCAGGGCUUGUGGCCGCCUCGUUCGCUCUCCGGACUGCUUUUUAUUUUUCUACUUUUUCAAAAAUUCCAAAACGGAAGAAAUUUCCUAUUGGAAAAGCAUCGGAGUCCAAUUUCUUGUCGAAACAGAUACAUCUUCGUUUUCAAGGUCCGAAACAGGCCGAUAAACAUCCCUUAUGUACUCCUUUGGAGUUAUGACAUUGAUGAUAUUGGUCUCAACAUUUAUGGGAGUACCAGAGAUGUAAUGCUUGAUUCUUUGCCCAUUUACCACUCUAGGAAUAUUUCCUUCUGUGUUAUUAAUUUUGAUGGCACCGGAACGAUAUACUUCCUCGACAACAUAGGGACAUUCCCAUUUAGAGAGAAGCUUGCCUGCAAAGAAUCUCAAAUGAGAAUUGUAUAGCAAGACAUAAUCACCUACAUUGAACUCUCGUUUCUGUAUUCGUUUGCCGUGCCAUCUCUUAACCUUUUCAUUGAACAACCUGGCAUUCUCGUAUGCCUGGGCUCUCCAUUCAUCUAACAAGCUGAUAUUAAACAACCGCUUCUCACCGGCAAGUUUGAAAUCAAAGUUGAGCUCUUUGAUUGCCCAAUAAGCUUUGUGUUCUAGCUCAAGAGGUAAAUGGCAGGCCUUACCGUAAACCAUUUUAUAAGGUGACAUGCCCAUGGGAUUCUUAUAAGCAGUCCUAUAAGCCCAUAGUGCAUCGUCAAGUUUGCUAGACCAGUUCUUUCAAGAUCUAUUGACAGUCUUUUGUAGGAUUAACUUGAUCUCCCUAUUACUCAACUCCACUUGACCACUAGACUGAGGAUGAUAAGGAGAUGCAACUCUAUGGUUGACAUCAUACUUAGCUAGCAUCUUGCGGAAAACACCAUGAAUGAAAUGUGAACCGCCAUCAGUCAUCAAGUAUAUAGGGACUCCAAAUCUUGGGAAUAUGACUUAUUUAAGCAUCUUAAUAGAGGUCUGGUGAUCAGCAUUUUUAGUGGGGAUAACUUCUACCCACUUAGUAACAUAAUCCACAACAACUAAGAUGUGAGUGUACCCAUUGGAACUCGGGAAGGGUCCCAUAUAAUCAAAGCCCCAGACAUCAAAUGGUUCAAUGACAAGUGAAUAGUUCAUAGGCAUUUCUUGACGCUUACUGAUGUUCCCUAUCCUUUGGCAUUCUUCACAAGACAAGACAAACUUACGAGCAUCCUUGAAGAGAGUGGGCCAAUAGAAACCUGAUUGCAAUAACUUAUGGGCAGUUCUAUCUCCAGCAUGGUGUCCUCCGUAGGCUUCGGAAUGAUACUUCUGCAGGAUCUGUCCCUGUUCAUGUUCAGGCACACAACGUCUAAUAACACCAUCUACUCCUUCCUUAUAAAGGUGAGGAUCAUCCCAAAAGUAGUGUCUCAAAUCAAAGAAGAAUUUCUUCUUUUGUUGAUAGGUGAAACUGGGUGGUAUGUAUUUGGCUACGAUAUAGUUUGCAUAAUUGGCAUACCACGGUGCACUAUGUUAAGUGCGGAUGACAUUUAAUUGCUCAUCAGGAAAGCUGUCAUCAAUAGGUAGUGGGUCAUCAAGGACAUUCUCUAGCCUAGACAAGUUAUCUGCUACAGGGUUAUCAGCACCCUUUCGGUCAACGACGUGCAAAUCAAAUUCCGGUAGCAGGAGAACCCACCUGAUCAGCCUAGGCUUAGCGUCCUUCUUCUCCAUGAGGUACUUAACAGUAGCAUGAUCCGAGUGAAUAGUGACUUUGGAGUCAACUAUGUAAGAUCUGAACUUUUCACAUGCAAACACGACUGCUAAAAAUUCCUUCUCCGUAGUGGCGUAGUUUCUUUGGGCACUGUCUAGAGUUUUACUAGCGUAGUGAAUGACAUUCAACUUCUUGUCAACUCUUUGUCCUAGAACAGAACCAACAGCAUAAUCACUAGCGUCACACAUUAUUUCAAAGCGCAAGUUCCAGUCAGGUGGUUGAACAAUAGGUGCGGUUAUCAAAGCCUUCUUAAGUAUUUCAAAGGCUUCCUCACAAUCCUCAUCAAAAACAAAAGGAACAUCCUUCUGCAAGAGGUUGGUAAGAGGCCUAGAAAUCUUAGAUAAGUCUUUAAUGAACCUUCUAUAGAAACCAGCAUGACCUAGGAAACUUCGUAUACCACUGAUAUCUAUGGGCAAGGCAUUUUCUCAAUUGCAUCAACCUUAGCCUUAUCAACUUCAAUGCCUCUUUCAGAGAUUUUGUGUCCUAAGACGAUACCUUCAUUAACCAUAAAGUGGCAUUUCUCCCAAUUCAAGACGAGGUUGGUUUCUUCGCAUCUCUGUAAGACUCUAUCAAGGUUGCUGAGGCAAUCAUCAAAGGAAGACCCGUAAACGGAGAAGUCAUCCAUGAAAACCUCGACAAUCUUUUCACAAAAGUCAGAGAAUAUAGCCAUGAUACAUCUUUGGAAGGUGGCAGGUGCAUUGCAUAAGCCAAAAGGCAUACGUCUAUAGGCAAAGGUACCGAAAGGGCAGGUGAAAGUGGUUUUCUCUUGACCGGAUUGUGCAAUAGGUAUCUGCGAAAACCUGAAUAACCGUCUAGAAAGCAGAAGUGUGUGUGUUUUGAUAGCCUUUCUAGCAUUUGGUCGAUGAACGACAAAGGAUAAUGAUCUUUCCUGGUUGCCUUGUUCAAUUUCUGGAAGUCUAUCACCAUUCUAUAGCCGGUAAUAAUCCUUUGUGGGAUUAGUUCAUCCUUAUCAUUAGGAACGACGGUGAUACCUCCCUUCUUAUGUACGCAAUGUACUGGACUUACCCAAUCACUGUGAGCAACAGGAUAAAUGAUUCCUGCUUCCAGAAGCUUUAAUAUUUCUUUUCUAACGACCUCUUUCAUCUUAGGAUUUAAUCUCCUUUGAUGAUCAGCAACUGGUUUAAGGUCAGGAUCGGUUUUAAUCUUGUGCUGACAUAGAGUAGGACUAAUACCCUUAUGAUCAUCAAGAGUAUAUCCAAUAGCAGCGUGGUGCUUCCUUAGAGUUUUUAGUAACUUCUUCUCUUCGCGCUCUGAGAGGAGAGCACUAAUAAUGACAGGAUAUAUCUCCUUCUCAUCAAGAUAGGCAUACUUAAGAGUAUCAGGCAACUGUUUAAGCUCGAACACAGGAUCACCCUUUGGUGGGGGAGGAUCCCCAAGCAGUUCAACAGGCAGAUAAUUCUUGAGAAUAGGAUAUUCUUCUAAGACAAUUUUAUCUAUCUCAUCUCUCUCCUCCAUAUGCAUAUCAUUUUCAUGCUCAAGCAGAUAUUGCUCUAAAGGAUCCGUAGGAGGUACGGCAAUAGAGGCAAGAUCAAUGAUUUCAUCCCUACCAGAUGACUCUCUUUCAUGGGGUUGUCUUCCAAACUUGGAGAAGUUAAAUUCAUGAGACACACCCUCGAAACUUACUAGGACAGUCUGCUUAAUGCAAUCAAUGUGAGCAUUGAUAGUGUUGAGAAAGGGUCUACCAAAUAUGAUGGGACAAAAGCUAUCUUGUGCAGUACCAAGGACGAGGAAAUAAGUAGGAUACUUCGUCUUACCACACAGGACUUCUACGUCUCUCACAAUUCCCAGAGGGCAGAUAGUGUCUCUAUUAGCUAGCGAAAUAGUGACAUCAAUGGGUUCUAACUCAGCAGGUGCAAUCUCAUCUUUGAUUUCAUCAUAGAGAGAACGGGGUAUCGCGCUAAAACUAGCUCCCGUAUCACAUAAACCAUGGUAACAAUGAUCUCCUAUCUUAACAGAAACAACGGGCAGGCCAACUACAUGCCCGUGUUUGUGUUUCGCGUGAGGUUUAGCAAUUCUAGCGGAGUCCUCACAAAAUUUGAUAACAUUCCCGUCUAUGUCUUCAGCUAAGAGAUCUUUGAUAAUAGCAACACUAGGUUCAACUCUAAUCUCUUCAGGGGGUGCAAGUGGUCUAAUGUAACCCCUACGUAUCACAUUUGGAGCUUUAGAAUAAUCCUUUAUCCUAGCAGGGUAUGGUGGUUUCUCAGUGUAAGCACAAGGAACAACAGGAUCACUAAAAUCUAUGAUUUUCUCCUCAACUAGAUUGGUUUUGGCUAUGUUGCUUUCUACAGGAGGAUGAUAUUUAAACCACUUCUCUUUGAGAAGAUCAACAUGAGCAGCAAAAGAUUCACAUAGAGAAGCUACUAUCUCAGAGUCAAGUCCAUACUUAGCGCUAAAAUCUCUAGAAGUGUUUGUCUCAACAAAAGAUUUAACGCAAUCAAACUGGAAAUUCAUACCUGACUCCUUACCUUCCUCCAGCUCCCAAUCUUCAGAGUUGCGUUUGAUUCUCUCCAAUAAAUUCCACUUGUGAUCAAUAUCCUUCUUCAUAAAAGAACCGACACAAGAAGUGUCAAGCAUGGUACGAUCUUCAUGAGAAAGCCAAGCAUAAAAGUUUUGAGUGAUGAUUUCUCUCGAGAGCUCAUGAUUGGGGCAUGAAUAUAGCAUUGAUUUAAGCCUCCCCCAAGCUUGAGCUAUGCUUUCCCUGUCACGAGGCCAAAAGUUAUAAAUAAAGUUCCGAUCACGAUGUACUAAAUGCAUAGGAUAGAACAUUUGAUGAAAUUCCAGUUUCAACUGAUUGUAGCCCCAUGAUCCAGUAUCAUCACAUAGCCUAUACCAUGUAAACGCCUUAUCCUUCAAAGAUAAAGGAAAUACUUUCUUCUUUACCUCAUCCUCGGGCAGACCUGCAAGCUUAAAUAAACCACAAACUUUAUCUACAUAGAUUAGAUGCAAGUCUGGAUGUGAAAGGCUUAGCCAGCAGUUUCUCAAGCAUACCCAAGGGAAUUUCAUAAAAUAUAUUUUCAGUAGGUACCUCAAGUUGAGGAGCAACUCCUCGUGCUUCAGUUCGUGGUGAAGAUACCCCGAACGAACUCCUCAAAGGAACAGUUUCCAUAGUGACAAGUGACAAUAAAUUUUAGCACAGUAUAUAAAUGUUUCCUUACCAAUUUCCACUUACCAAAGGCGCUUCAAUCCCCGGCAAUGGCGCUAGAAAAGAGUCUUGAUGACCCACAAGCGUAGGGGAUCAAUCGUAGUCCUUUCGAUAAGUAAGAGUGUCGAACCCAACGAGGAGCAGAAGGCCCUGAUAAACGGAUUUCAGCAAGGUAAUAACUGCAAGCACUGAAAGUAGCGGUAACAAGUGAUGGUGUAGUGAGGUGAAACGUAGCGAGCAAAAAGUAACAAGUAUCAAGUAGUAGCAAUGGUGCAGCAAGUGGACCAAUCCCUUUUGCAGCAAGGGACAAGGCUGAACAAAGUCUUAUAGGAGGAAAAACGCUCCCGAUGACACACGAGAAUUUCUGUCAUGCUAGUUUCAUCAUGUUCAUAUGAUUCGCGUUCGUUACUUUGAUAGUUUGAUAUGUGGAUGGACCGGCGCUUGGGUACUGCCCUUACUUGGACAAGCAUCCCACUUAUGAUUAACCUCUAUCGCAAGCAUCCGCAACUACAAAAGAAGAAUUAAGACAAAGUCUAACCAUAGCAUUAAACUAGUGGAUCCAAAUCAGCCCCUCACGAAGCAACGCAUAGACUUGGGUUUAAGCUUCUGUCNNNNNNNNNNNNNNNNNNNNNNNNNNNNNNNNNNNNNNNNNNNNNNNNNNNNNNNNNNNNNNNNNNNNNNNNNNNNNNNNNNNNNNNNNNNNNNNNNNNNNNNNNNNNNNNNNNNNNNNNNNNNNNNNNNNNNNNNNNNNNNNNNNNNNNNNNNNNNNNNNNNNNNNNNNNNNNNNNNNNNNNNNNNNNNNNNNNNNNNNNNNNNNNNNNNNNNNNNNNNNNNNNCCCAAAUAUGGUGAAGUUUUAUGUAGUCGACAUUCACAUAACACCACUAGAGGAAAAGACAACAUACAUCAUAUCAAAAUACCGAACGAAUAUCAAAUUCACAUGACUAUUAUUAACAUGACUUAUCCCAUGUCCUCAGGAACAAAAGUGACUANNNNNNNNNNNNNNNNNNNNNNNNNNNNNNNNNNNNNNNNNNNNNNNNNNNNNNNNNNNNNNNNNNNNNNNNNNNNNNNNNNNNNNNNNNNNNNNNNNNNNNNNNNNNNNNNNNNNNNNNNNNNNNNNNNNNNNNNNNNNNNNNNNNNNNNNNNNNNNNNNNNNNNNNNNNNNNNNNNNNNNNNNNNNNNNNNNNNNNNNNNNNNNNNNNNNNNNNNNNNNNNNNNNNNNNNNNNNNNNNNNNNNNNNNNNNNNNNNNNNNNNNNNNNUCAACACUACUAGCAACAUUACAAGUACCAAUCGGAGUCGCGAGACGAAGAUUGGUUACAAGAGAUGAACUAGGGAUUGGAGAGGCGAUGGUGCUGAUGAAGUUGUUGAUGAAGAUGCCUCCCCUCCAACGAUAGGAGUGUUGGUGAUGACGAUGGCGACGAUCUCCCCCUCCGGGAGGGAAGUUUCCCCGGCAGGAUCGUCCUGCCGGAGCUCUAGAUUGGAUCUGCUCAAGUUCUGCCUCGUGGCGAUGGCGAAACCAUGAAAAAGCUCCCGAUUGAUUUUUUCCAGACGAAAUCCCUUCAUAUAGCAAAAGAGGGGGGCUAGUGGGCCGUCAGGCAGCCCACAAGCUUGUCCUGCGCCACCAAGGGGGAGGGUGGCGGUGGGCAAGCUUGUGGAGCCCUGGUGGCCCCCCUCCGGUAGUUCUUUCGCCCAGUGUUUUUUAUUUAAUCCAGAAAAAAUCCACGUAACUUUUCAGGGCAUUUGGAAAUGUGCAAAAUAGUGGACUAGGAUUUGCUCCUUUUCCAGUCCAGAAUUCCAGCUGCCUGAAUUCUCCCUCUUCAAAUAAACCUUGCAAAAUAAGAGAGAAAUGGCAUAAAUAUGGUACCACAAGUAAUAUAACAGCCCAAAAAGCAAUAAAUAUCAGCAUGAAAGCAUGAUGCCAAAUGGACGUAUCAGCACUCCCCUGCCCUAGGUCUUUGGCCUAUAAACUCCCUAAAAAUCCAGAAAAAAUCAGGGCAUCCACGAAAACACUUUUCCGCCGCCGCAAGCUUCCGUUUCCGCGAGAUCUCAUCUGGAGACCCUUCCCGGUGCCCUGCCGGAGGGGACUUUGGAGUUGGAGGGCUUCUUCAUCAACAUCGCCCCUCCAAUGACUCGUGAGUAGUUCACUUUAGACCUACGGGUCCGUAGUUAGUAGCUAGAUGUCUUCUUCUCUCUCUUGGAUCUUCAAUACAAAGUUCUUCAUGAUCUUCCUGGAGAUCUAUCCGAUGUAAUCCUCUUUGGCGGUGUGUUUGUCGAGAACCGAUGAAUUGUGGAUUUGUGAUCAGAUUAUCUAUGAUAUAUAUUUGAGUCUUUGCUGAUUUCUUAUAUGCAUGAUUUGAUAUCCUUGUAAGUCUCUCCGGGUCUUGAGUUUUGUUUGGCCAACUAGAUCUAUGAUUCUUGCAAUUGGAGAAGUGCUUGGUUUUGGGUUCAUACCGUGUGGUGACCUUUCCCAGUGACAGAAGGGGCAGCAAGGCACACAUCGUGUUGUUGCCAUCAAGGGUAACAAGAUGGGAUUUUAUCGUAGAUAUGAGAUUGUCCAUCUACAUCAUGUCAUCUUGCUUAAGGCAUUACUCUGUUCUCAUGAACUUAAUACACUGAUGCAUGCUGGAUAGCGGUCGACGUGUGGAGUAAUAGUACUAGAUGCAGAAAGUAUCGGUCUAGUUGUUUUGGACAUGAUGCCUAUAGAUAUAAUCAUUGCCAUAGAUAACGUCAUGACUUUGCAAGGUUCUAUCAAUUGCUCGACAGUAAUUCGUUCACCCACCAUCUACUUGCUUUCAUGAGAGAAGCCACUUGUGAACACUACGGCCCCCGGGUCUAUUCACACCUAUCGUUUCCACUUUCGCUUUUACUUUGCUUUGUUUCUUUUUGCUUUCAGUUCUCACUUGGCAAACAAUCUAUAAGGGAUUGACAACCCCUUCAUAGCGUUGGGUGCAAGCUCUUUGUGUUUGUGCAGGUACUUGUGAUAAUCCUUCACUGGAUCGAUACCUUGGUUCUCAAAACUGAGGGAAAUACUUACCGCCGCUAUGCUACAUCACCCUUUCCGCUUCGAGGGAACACCAACGCAAGGCUCCAAGGCCACGGGGGAAUCCUUUGCAUAUUUUCCAAGGAAGUCCCUAAAGGCGUAGCCGUAGCACAAGGAUUCCUGGUGCUGUUGCUGCGGAGUAUCAAGACAAGAAUAGUCUCCCGUCAGCACGCUUGUUUCUGGCUCCGUUGGAAGGUUUUUUGUUGCAGUAGCAGAAGUAUUUCUGGCGCCGUUGCCGGGGAAGGAGAGAUCUAUCCAAGUAGGUCUCACAAACUCAUCUCUUGCAUUUACUUUAUUGCCAGUUGCCUCUCGUUUUCCUCUCCCCCACUUCACAUUUGCCGUUUUCUUUUGCCUUUCUCCUUUGCCGUUUUCUUUUGCCUUUUUGCUGUCUUCCUUUGUCGUUCUCUUUUGCCCGCUUCACUCACUUUCUUCCAGAUCGUUCUUGUGUGGGAUAGUCCAUCAAUGCUAGACCCAGUACACCAAACGAAACCCCUGAGAACGAAGUUCUCAACUUCAGGCAGAAUGAGGAAGAAAAUUUAAAGGACGCUUGGUACAGGAUUUGCAAUGCUCAAAGUAGAUCCACCCGUAAGCAAUCCACUACCGUCCUUCUUCGCAGUUUUUAUGUUGGAAUAUCUCCUUGGAAUAGGUAUAUUCUUGAUACCAUCGUAGGCGGAAUUUUUUGGGGAGCCAUACUGUUGACUCCUAUGGAGCUAUCAUGAAUUUGGUAGGCUCACCCCCGCUGAUGGUUAAUGGAACUACCUUAACCUUGGAACACGUGAUGCAAAGGCUUGACGCUAUUGAAAACAAAAUUGCCACAAUUGAACUUAUUCAGGGUUUGGAUAGAAAGAUCCACAAUCAAAUUACUCAGUAUGGAUCCAAAGUGGGAAAUGUUUUGAAAAAUUUAAGGGAGAAGGAACCUAUAGUUAAUGAUUCUUCUAGAAUUGGCAAACUAGAAGAUGUCAUAACCAACUUGGGUUCCGCUUUUUCCGCUGUGCAAAAUACUCCAAAUCUCACUCUCAAAAAGACCGUCAAGUCUAUUUUUGUUCCUAAAGCUAGUGGUGAGUCAUCCAAUAAAGAUGAAGAUCUUAAGAUGAUAAAUGAUCACACUACUUAUGGUUUGAGCACCAAAGAUGACUAUACGUGAUUCCAUCACCUUUUGCCUAGCUAAGGGCGUUAAACAAUAUCGCUUGUUGGGAGGCAACCCAACGAAUUUAUCCUUUUUCUUUCUGUUUUGUGUUUUCCACACUUUUAUAAUUCUGUUAUGACUGUGUUUUUUGUGUUUCUUUUUGCAUUUGUGCCAAGCAAAACCGUUAUGAUUAGUCUUGAGGAUGAUCGUUUAGUCAUGCUGGAAAAGACAGAAACUUUCUGCUCACGAAAAGAAUUUUCAUUUUUUUCUGUAAGAGCUUUUUAGUUGAUUCUUUUUGCUGCUAAUUGCUACGCAAAUUCUUCAGACUGUCGUAAUUUUUUAGAUUUUUGGAAGUACCAGAAGUAUACGUGCUAUAGACUGGUCUGCUGUUAACAGAUUCUGUUUUUGUUGUGUUGAUUGCUUAUUUUGAUGAAACUAUGGAUAGUUUCGGGGGGUAUUAGCCAUGGAAGAUUGAAAAUACAGUAACCCAACAUCAACAUAAGUAGAAUUUAAGUUUGCUACAGUACCUAAGGAAGUGGUGGUUUGCUUUCUUAUACUAAUGUUAUCACGAGUUUCUGUCUAUGUUUCGUGUUGUGAAGUUUUCAAGUUUUGGAUGAAGUUCUUAUGGACAAAAAGAUAAAGAGUGGCAAGAUCUCAAGCUUGGGGAUGCCCAAGGCACCCCAAGAUUAUUCAAGGAUGUCGUAAAAGCCUAAGCUUGGGGAUGCCCUGGGAAGGCAUCCCCUCUUUCGUCUCCAAUCCAUCGGUAACGUUACUUGGGGCUAUAUUUUUAUUCACCACAUGUUAUGUGUUUUGCUUGGAGCGUCUUGUAUAGGAGUCUUUUACUUUUGUUGUCACAAUCAUCCUUGCUGCACACCUAGAGAGAUAGACAUGCACUCACCGUGAUUUUGUCGAGCUUCACUUAUAUCCUUUGGUAGACAAUUCAGCUCACAUGUGCUUCACUUAUAUCUUUUGAGCUAGUUGAUUUUGCUCUAUGUGCUUCACUUAUAUCUUUUAGAGUACGACUGUGCGUGGCUUGGUAGUUGAUCUAUUCUAUGAAAGUAGUCUCAAAAGGGGUAGUUAUCCAAAGGGAUACGAAAACUUCCACCUUCAUGUGCAUUGAAUAGUUAGAGAAGUUUGAUUCAUGUCAACUAGUUUUGAGUUGUGGUUAUGGUAAUAUCGAAGUUAUAUUAGUAAGGUGCCGUGGAUCUAGAAAUACUUGUGUUGAAGUUAGUGAUUCCCGUAGCAUGCACGUUUGGUGAACCGAUAUGUGAUGAAGUCUAAGCAUGAUUAGUCUAUUGAUUGUCAUCCUUUGUGUGGCGGUCGGGAUCGCGCGAUGGUUUAUACCUACCAACCCUUCCCCUAGGAGUAUGCGUUGAAUGCUUUGUUUCGAUUACUAAUAAAACUUUUGUAACAAGUAUAUGAGUUCUUCAUGACUAAUGUUGAGUCCAUGGUUUAGAUGCACUUUCAGCUUCCACCAUCACUAUCUUCUUUAGUGCCGUGCAAUUUUCGCCCGUGCACAAAACCCACCAUUAGCCUCCCUCAAAACAGCCACCAUACCUACCUACUAUGGCUUUUUCAAAGUCAUUCCGAGAUAUAUUGCCAUGCAACUACCACCAUGACAUGUGCCACCACGUCUACAUUGCCAUUGCAUGAUCGUAAGAUAGCUAGCAAGAUGUUUCUAUUAAUGUCCAUGCCAUGCUAGAUCAUUGUCAGAGUACACUACCGAAGGCAUUCCAUAUAGAGUCAUCAUUGCUCUAAAUUUUGAGUUGUAAGUGUGAUGAUCAUCAUUUAUGGAGCAUUGUCCCAUGUGAGGAAAUGAAAGAGGCCAAAGAAGCCCACCAAAAUAAAAUGAAUAAAUAAAAAAAGAAAGGCCAAAGAGCCCAUUCAAAAAAAAAGAGAGAAAAAGAGAGAAGGGACAAUGCUACCACCUUUCCACACUUGUGCAUAUUAAGCACCAUGAUCUUCAUGAUUGAGAUUCUCUCGUUUUGUCACCACCAUAUGGCUAGUGGGAAAUUUUCAUUAUAUAACUUGGCUUGUAUAUUCCAAUGAUAGGCUUCCUCAAAAUUGCCCUAGGUCUUCGUGAGCAAGCAAGUUGAAUGCACACCCACUAGUUUUCUCUAAGAGCUUUCACAUACUCUUAGCUCUAGUGCAUCAUUUGUAUGGAAAUCCCUACUCAUUCACGUUGAUAUCUAUUGAUGAGCAUCUCCAUAGCUCAUUGAUAUGCCUAGUCAAUGUGACCUUCUUCUCCUUGUUUGUCUUGCAACCUCCACCACACUCCACACCACUUAUAGUGCUAAAACCAUGGCUCACGCUCAUGUAUUGCGUGAGAGUCGAAAAAGUUUGAGAAAGUAAAGGUGUGAAAACAAUUACUUGGCCAAUACCGAGGUUGUGCAUGAUUUAAAUUCCUUGUGCAAGGAUGAUAGAUCAUAGCCAGACUAUAUGAUUUUGUAGGGAUAACUUUCUUUUGGCCUUGUUAUUUUGAAAGUUCAUGAUUACCUUGCUAGUUUGCUUGAAGUAUUAUUGUUUCCACGUCAAUAGCAAACUAUUGUUUUGAAUCUAAUGGAUCUGAACAUUCACAUCACAUAAGAGGAGUUACAAAGGACAUCUAUGUUAGACAACAUCAAAGCAUCAAAAAUUCAUUCUUUAUCACUUCCCUACUCGAGGGCGAGCAGGAGUUAAGCUUGGGGAUGCUUGAUACAUCUCAAACGUAUCUAUAAUUUGUUAUGGUUUCACGCUGUUAUCUUGUCAACUUUGGAUGUUUUGUUUACCUUUUAUAUCUUUUUUGGGACUAACUUAUUAAUUCAGUGCCAAGCGCCAGUUCCUGUUUUUUCUGUGUUUUUGACUCUUUUCAGAUCUGAUUUUGGAACGGAGUCCAAACGGAAUAAAAUCCCCGAAAUAAAUUUUUCUAGAAUGGAAGAAGAUCGGGAGGCUUGAGGGCCAAGCAAGUGCGCCCACUGGGAGCCCACAAGCGCUGUUGCCGUGGCCAGGGGGGAGGCCGAGACAACCAAGCUUGUGGCCCCCCUGGCGCUCCCUUGCCCUAGGUCUUUGGCCUAUAAAUUACCUAAAAAUCAAGAAAAAAUUACGGCAUCCACGAAAACACUUUUCCGCCGCCGCAAGCUUCCGUUUCCGCGAGAUCUCAUCUGGAGACCCUUCCCGGUGCCCUGUUGGAGGGGACUUUGGAGUUGGAGGGCUUCUUCAUCAACAUCAUCGCCCCUCCAAUGACUCGUGAGUAGUUCACUUUAGACCUACGGGUCCGUAUUUAGUAGCUAGUUGGCUUCUUCUCUCUCUUGGAUCUUCAAUACAAAGUUCUCCAUGAUCUUCAUGGAGAUCUAUCCGAUGUAAUCCUCUUUGGCGGUGUGUUUAUCAAGAUCCGAUGAAUUAUUGAUUUGUGAUCAGAUUAUCUAUGAUAUAUAUUUGAGUCUUUGCUGAUUUAUCAUAUGCAUGAUUUGAUAUCCUUGUAAGUCUCUCCAAGUCUUGGGUUUUGUUUGGCCAACUAGAUCUAUGAUUCUUGCAAUGGGUGAAGUGCUUGGUUUUGGGUUCAUACCGUGUGGUGACCUUUCCCAGUGACAGAAGGGGCAGCAAGGCACGCAUCAUGUUGUUGCCAUCAAGGGUAACAAGAUGGGCUUUUAUCGUAGAUAUGAGAUUGUCCAUCUACAUCAUGUCAUCUUGCUUAAGGCGUUACUCUGUUCUCAUGAACUUAAUACACUAGAUGCAUACUGGAUAGCGAUCGACGUGUGGAGUAAUAGUAGUAGAUGCAGAAAGUAUCGGUCUACUUGUUUUGGACGUGAUGCCUAUAGGUAUAAUCAUUGCCAUAGAUAACGUCACGACUUUGCGUGGUUAUACCAAUUGCUCGACAGUAAUUCGUUCACCCACCGUCUACUUGCUUUCAUGAGAGAAGCCACUAGUGAACACUACGGCCCCCGGGUCUAUUCACACCUAUCAUUUCCACUUUUGCUUUUGCUUUGCUUUGUUUCUUUUUUGCUUUCAGUUCUCACUUGGCAAACAAUCUAUAAGGGAUUGACAACCCCUUCAUAGCGUUGGGUGCAAGCUCUUUGUGUUUGUGCAGGUACUUGUGAUAAUCCUUCACUGGAUCGAUACCUUGGUUCUCAAAACUGAGGGAAAUACUUACUGCCGCUGUGCUACAUCACCCUUUCCGCUUCGAGGGUACACCAACGCAAGGCUCCAAGGCCACGGGGGAAUCCUUUGCAUAUUUGCCAAGGAAGUCCCUAAAGGCGUAGCCGUAGCAGAAGGAUUCCUGGUGCCGUUGCUGAGGAGUAUCAAGGCAAGAAUAGUCUCCCGUCAGCACGCUUGUUUCUGGUGCCGUUGGAAGGUCUUUUGUUGCAGUUGCAAUCCUUUUCAGAGGAGGAUUUUAAACGGAGUCCAAACGGAACGAAACUGCCAAAAAUAUUUUUUCCGAAAUAGAAAAAGAUCGGGAAGCCUGAGAAUCAGGGCAGGGGGCCACCAGGGACCCCACAAGCCCCCUAGCCGCGACCAGGGGGCCGCGCCUCCCAGGCUUGUGGGCUCCCUGGGCCUCGUCUGUCCUAGGUCUUUCGCCUAUAAAUUCCCCAAAAUCCCAGAAAAAUUCAGGAGAUCAUCGAAAGUACUUUUCCGCCGCCGCAAGCUUCUGUCUCCGCAAGAUCCCAUGUGGGGCAUGUUCUGGUGCCCUGCCGGAGGGGGGAUUCGGAUACGGAGGGCUUCUUCAUCAACACCAUGACCUCUCCGAUGAUNNNNNNNNNNNNNNNNNNNNNNNNNNNNNNNNNNNNNNNNNNNNNNNNNNNNNNNNNNNNNNNNNNNNNNNNNNNNNNNNNNNNNNNNNNNNNNNNNNNNNNNNNNNNNNNNNNNNNNNNNNNNNNNNNNNNNNNNNNNNNNNNNNNNNNNNNNNNNNNNNNNNNNNNNNNNNNNNNNNNNNNNNNNNNNNNNNNNNNNNNNNNNNNNNNNNNNNNNNNNNNNNNNNNNNNNNNNNNNNNNNNNNNNNNNNNNNNNNNNNNNNNNUUCAUGGAGAUCUAUCCAAUGUAAUAUUCUUUUGCGGUGUGUUUAUCGAGAUCCGAUGAAUUGUGGAUUUAUGAUCAGAUUAUCUAUGAAUCUUAUUUGAGUUUCUUCUGAUCUCUCUCAUGCAUGAUUUCAUAUCCUUGUAAUUUUCUUCGAGUUGUGGGUUUUGUUUGGCCAACUAGAUCUAUGAUUCUUUCAAUGGGAGAAGUGCUUGGUUUUGGGUUCAUACCGUGUGGUCACCUCACCCAGUGACAGAAGGAGUAGCGAGGCAUGCAUCGUGUUGUUGCCAUCAAGGGUAAAAAUAUGGGGUUUUCAUCAUUGGUUUGAGAUUAUCCCUCUACAUCAUGUCAUCUUGCUUAAGGUGUUACUCUGUUCAUCAUGAACUCGAUACACUAGAUGCAUGCUGGAUAGCGGUCGAUGUGUGGAGUAAUAGUAGUAGAUGCAGAAAGUAUCGGUCUACUUGUCUCGGACGUGAUGCCUAUAUGUAUGAUCAUUGCCUUAGAUAUCGUCAUGACUUUGCGCGGUUCUAUCAAUUCCUCGACAGUAAUUUGUUCACCCACCGUAAUAUUUGCUAUUUUGAGAGAAUCCUCUAGUGAACACUAUGGCUCCCGGGUCUACUUCACACCAUAUUUUUAGCCUUACACUUUUUCGUUGCACUUUCCACCUUCAGAUCUCACUUUGCAACCAAUCUUGAAGGGAUUGACAACCCCUUUAUAGCGUUGGGUGCAAGCUCUUUGUGUUUGUGCACGUACUCUGGACUUGACGAGAUUCUCCUACUGGAUUGAUACCUUGGUUCUCAAACUGAGGGAAAUACUUACUGCUCCUGUGCUGCAUCACCCUUUCGUCUUCAAGUGAAAACCAACUCAAGCUCAAGAGACGACAGAAGGUUUCUGUCGAUGUAGCAGUAGGGAAGAAGGGGAAGGGUACAAGAUGUGGCCGUAGGAGAGGUAGGCGGACUGCUAGGCCGUCCUCGUCACCACCACCAGCUCAUUCACCCGAGCACACGACUACUAUGGUGGACCCGUUUGCGGAGGAGGCUACGGGGACUCCGGUCGAGGAGCCUCGGGUCGACGGGCAUUCGGCCAAUGAGACUCCGGUCGAGGAGUCUCGGGUCGACGGGCAUUCGGCCCAUGAGACUCCGGUUCUUGAGGCUACGUACCAGGAUACUCCUGCCACAGAGGCUUCAGCCAGCGUGGAGAAGUCCGGAUGGGGUGCUUGGCUGGAUCAGACCGAGAGGCCGGAUUGGACCGAGGGGCCGGGUGGCCAUUCUGUUGGUGGCGGGGAUGAGUCUACGGAUAGUGAGGGCGACGUGAAGGUGGACAGGGCCACCAUUUACAAGCGUGGUAGUACACGUCUCCCGGUCGUGCCGGCUACCUGCGAGCAGAGUCCAGUGAUUACGCGUGAAGGGGAUAGGUAAGUACGUUUACUCUUUUUUUACCUUUUGCCUUCAAGUUUCUUCAAAUAUCUAAUGCGUUGACCUUGUCAUACUACAUGGGUUGGAAACACCCCGUUGGAGUCCGCAAGCCGAACACCGCUCUUGGUGUGCUUUACCGGACAAAUUUCCCAGGGUUUGUCAUGUUGCCCGAUGAGGGUCAGGUUCGUACACUAGGAUUUACAUGGGAGCACUACCAGGCCGCGCAGGCCCCACCAGAGGAGAUUAUAGAUGGUGUCUUGUGCCACACGAGGGCCGAGAUGGUGAUAAACUCCUUUUGGGUAAAUUAUCCUUUUACACAAUCUAAAAUUAACAAUAUAGCUAAUUAUUGUACUAAUCGGUGUUGUCUCGUUUGAUUGGAGACCUUCUAUAGGUGUGAGGAGGGAUAUGAGGGGGCGGCGGCCAAGGUUCUCGAGGCCGAGUGCAGGCGGCUAUUACAAAACUUGCGCCACGAGGCUCGGCCGCAGGCUAUUCGAGACUACUACGCCACGCGGUGUAUUAAGAAGCAGAAGAAGGAGUGUCGUGGAAAGUAUCUGAAGAAGGAGCAGUACAUGAAGGUAAUUACCUAUUCUUAAGGCCUUGUAGGUAGUUUUAUUGAUUUGAUUCGUAGGCUUAGCGCUCAAAAUUCUUUUUAAUAACUUAUAGGUGCCCCCAAGAUGGUGUGCGGAUAAGAUAGAUUGUUGGGAGGCGUUGGUGGAUGAGUGGUGCACAUGCAACUCGCGAGCCGCCACGACAAUGUGAAUGAUUGACGUGGCCAAAUGGUUGGUGUGCCACACCAUCAAGGUAGCGCCAACUUACUUCAGCUCCGACGGAACUGGGUAUGUGGUUUGCUUCAUGAUUCAUGCAAUUCAUUAUUCAUGCUAGUUGAGCCCUUUACUAAUACUUUGUUCCUCUCUUUUAGGCGCAUCACAAUAAGAUGAAGAUGCCAUAGCUGUACGACCUUUUAUGGCAUGGCCCAUACUGCCUCCUACAAGAAGGCCAAGGCAUUCUCUGAGUCUGACCUGGAUGAUCCAAAUAACUUCACCAACAGCUCAUCCCACCACAAGCUCGUGAAAUACAGGGAUGUGGGGAAGGCUUGGAAAGGGGAGAAAUUUAACCCGACCAGGAACCUUUGGAUCCAGAGCCGGUGAUGAUAUCUGGUGGCGGGAGGCCCCAUGGCUCGAUAGCCAUUGGAGAUGGGAUAAUACGUUGUCCACUCACUCUCCCGAAAAUCAAGGCGCGCCAGUCGAGCUCCUGUCCUGAGAUAACGCCUCGUCCAUGGCUAGUCGAACUCGCCAUCGAGGUUAGUUGUACGGACUCAGAAAACUUUCAUCCAUUUCAUUGUGUGUGUGGCCAUCGAUCAUUACUGUAGUAACGAGGAAUGGUGUUGCAGGCUGUUCUUGAGAAAGAGAGAGUGGAAACAAGGCUGCUCUUGAGAAAGAGAGAGUGGCAAACCAGGCUGCUCUUGAGAAAGAUAGAGUGGAAAACCAGACUGCUCUUCAGGCUGCUCUUGAGGAGAGGGACCAGAACACGACUCAGUUGUUGAAGGAGGAGAGGGCCCGGAAUGAGGCUGCUCACCUCGCCAUGUACGAGCUUAUUGUGGUAAGUUUAUUUUUUACAUCAGCCAAAUCAUGCGUGUAAUAUCUAUUUCAUUACUAACUAAUACGAGUGACUCUUCAAAACCAAAUGUGCAGUUUAUGUGCGAGAAGACCGGCCAGCCCCCUCCGCAGAUGCUUGUCUUUUCUUCGAUUGGCACGGUGAGUUUCAUUUCAAUGGUCAUUAUAAACUAGUAUUAACAUUUGAGUGUCAUCAUGCUAACAAGACAUUGUAAAUUUUCUUUUCUGCAAAAUAACUCCCGAGUGACAUCGCACGACCCUUCUCAGGGGCAACCAUCUCCAAACGCAACCGGCCCGAGCAACGCUAGUGCUUCUCCUCCUUGAUGACCACGACGGUAAGUUUUCUCUAGCUCAUUUAUGACAUAAUUAUAGCUAGUUUACCUACAGAAUGACAUAAUUAGCUUUGUUAGGUAAAAACAUCACAAGAACCUACGUUAGCUUAUAACUUAGCUAAUUAUCCUCCAAAAUGACAUACUUAGCUAAUUAUCCUCCAAAAUGACAUAAUUAGCUAGUUUAGCUUGAGAAUGACAUAAUUAGCUUAGUUAGGUAGAAAACAUCACAAGAACAUUGGUUAGCUCAUAACUUAGCUAAUUAUCCUCAUAAAUGACAUACUUAGCUAAUUAUCCUCCAAAAUGAAAUAAUUAGCUAGUUUAGCUCGAGAAUGACAUAAUUAGCUUAGUUAGGUAAAAAUCAUCACAAGAACCUUGGUUAGCUCAUAACUUAGCGUAUCUUCCUCCUAAAUGACAAAAUAAGCUCAAAAUAAGAAAAGUAUUGUGUAGUCAUCCUCUUCCUCUCCUACUUCAUCCUCUUCUUCUCCUCCUCCUUCUUCUCCUUCUCCUCCUCCUUCUUCUUCUUCUCCUUCUUCUUCUUCUUCAUCAUCAUCAUCAUCAUCUUCUUCUUCUUCUCUUCUUCUUCUUCUUCUUCCUCUUUUUCUUCUUCUUCUUCUUNNNNNNNNNNNUCUUCUUCUUCUUCUUAUCCUCCUCCUCCUUCUCCUCCUCUUUCUUCUCCUCUUUCAUCUUGUGCUUAGCUUAUUUUCCUCAACAAACACAUACUUAGCUAAUUAUCCUCCAAAAUGACAUAAUUAGCUAGUUUAGCAACAAAAUGACAUAAUUAGUUUAGUUAGGUAAAAAACAUCACAAGAACCUUGCUUAGCUCAUAACUUAGCUAAUUUAGCUCCAAAAUGACAUACUUAGCUAAUUAUCCUCCUCCUCCUCCUCUUCCUCUCCUACUUCUUCCUCUUCUUCUCCUCCUCCUCCUUCUCAUCCUUCUCGUCCUCCACCUCCUCCAUCUUCUUCUUCUUCUCCUUCUCCUCCUCUUUCUUCUCUUCUUUCAUCUUCUCCUGAGCUUAUUUUCCUCAAUAAACAUGUACUUAGCUAAUUAUCCUCCAAAAUGACAUAAUUAGCUAGUUUAGCUGGAGAAUGACAUAAUUAGCUUAGUUAGACAAAAAACAUCACAAGAACCUUGGUUAGCUCAUAACUUCGCUAAUUUAGCUCCAAAAUGACAUACUAAUUAUCCUCCUCUUCCUCUUCCUCUCCCACUUCUUCCUCUUCUUCUUCUCCUCCUUCUCCUNCUCCUCCUCCUCCUUCUUCUCUUCCUCCUCGUCUUUCUUCUCCUCUUUCAUCUUCUCCUUAGCUUAUUUUCCUCAACAAACACAUACUGAGCUAAUUAUCCUCCAAAAUGACAUAAAUAGCUAGUUUAGCUCGAGAAUGACAUAAUUAGCUUAGUUUGGUAAAAAACAUGACAAAAACCUUGGUUAGCUCAUAACUUAGCUAAUUUAGCUCCAAAAUGACAUACUUAGCUAAUUAUCCUCCUCCCCCUCCCCCUCUCCUACUUCUUCAUCUCCUUCUCCUCCUCCUCCCCCUCCUUCUUCUUCUCCUUCUCCUCCUCUUUCUUCUNUUAUCCUCCAAAAUGACAUAAUUAGCUACUUUAGCUCCAAAAUGACAUAAUUAGCUUAGUUAGGUAAAAAACAUCACAAGAACGUUGGUUAGCUCAUAACUUAGCUAAUUUAGCUUUAAAAUGACAUACUUAGCNNNNNNNNNNNNNNNNNNNNNNNNNNNNNNNNNNNNNNNNNNNNNNNNNNNNNNNNNNNNNNNNNNNNNNNNNNNNNNNNNNNNNNNNNNNNNNNNNNNNNNNNNNNNNNNNNNNNNNNNNNNNNNNNNNNNNNNNNNNNNNNNNNNNNNNNNNNNNNNNNNNNNNNNNNNNNNNNNNNNNNNNNNNNNNNNNNNNNNNNNNNNNNNNNNNNNCUUCUUCCUCUUCUUCUUCUCCUCCUCCUUCUCCUCCUCCUCCUCCUUCUUCUUCUCCUUCUCCUUCUCCUCCUCUUUCUUCUCCUCUUUCAUCUUCUCUUUAGCUUAUUUUCCUCAACAAACACAUACUUAGCUAAUUAUCCUCCAAAAUGACAUAAUUAGCUAGUUUACCUCCAGAAUGACAUAAUUAGCUUAGUUAGGUAAUCACAAUAACCUUGGUUAGGUCAUAACUUAGCUAAUUUAGCUCCAAAAUGACUUACUGAGCUAAUUAUCCUCCUCCUAUUCCUCUUCCUCUCCUACUUCUUCCUCUUCUUCUUCUCCUCCUCCUUCUCCUCCUCAUCCUCCUUCUUCUUCUCCUUCUUCUCCUCUUUAUUCUCCUCUUUCAUGUUCUCCUUAGAAUAUUUUCCUCAACAAACACAUACUUAGCUAAUUAUCCUCCAAAAUGACAUAAAUAGCUAGUUUAGUCCAGAAUGACAUAAUUAGCUUAGUUAGGUAAAAACAUCACAAUAACAUUGGUUAUCUCAUAAAUUAGCUAAUUUAGCUCCAAAAUGACAUACUUAGCUAAUUAUCCUCCUCCUCCUCUUCCUCUUCAUCUACUACUUCUUCCUGUUCUUCUCCUCCUCCUCCUCCUCCUCCUUCUUCUCCUUCUCCUCCUCUUUCUUCUCCUCUUUCAUCUUCUUCUUAGCUUAUUUUUCUCAACAAACACAUAAUUAGCUAAUUAUCCUCCAAAAUGACAUAAUUAAGUUUAGCUCGAGAAUGACAUAAUUAGCUUAGUUAGGUAAAAAAAUCACAAGAACCUUGGUUAGCUCAUAACUUAGCUAAUUUAGCUCCAAAAUGACAUACUUAGCUAAUUAUCCUCCGCCUCCUCUUCCUCUUCCUCUUCUUAUUCUCCUCCUCCUCCUCCUUCUUCUUCUCCUUAUCCUCCUCUUUCUUCUCCUCUUUCAUCUUCUCCUUAGCUUAUUUUCCUCAACAAACACAUACUUAGCUAAUUAUCCUCCAAAAUGACAUAAUUAGCUAGUUUAGAUCGAGAAUGACAUAAUUAGCUUAGUUAGGUAAAAAAUAUCAAAGUAACCUUGGUUAGCUCAUAACUUAGCUAAUUUAGCUCCAAAAUGACAUACUUAGCUAAUUAUCCUCCUCCUCCUCUUCCUCUUCCUCUUCUACUUCUUCCUCUUCUUCUUCUCCUCCUCAUUCUCCUCCUCCUCCUCGUUCUUCUUCUUCUCCUUCUCCUCCUCUUUCGUCUCCUCUUUCAUCUUCUCCUUAGCUUAUUUUCAUCGACAAACACAUACUUAGCUAAUUAUCCUUCAAAGCGACAUAAUUAGCUAGUUUAGUUCCAGAAUGACAUAAUUAGCUUAGUUAGGUAAAAAACUUCACAAGAACCUUGGUUAGCUCAUAACUUAGCUAAUUUAUCUUCAAAAUGACAUAAUAAGCUCAAAAUGGCAUAAGAACCUUUGUUAGCUCAUGAAUAUUAUAUACUUAGCUUGUUUUCCUCUAAAAUGACAUAAUGAGCUUAGUUAGGUCAAAAAUGGCAUAAGAACCUUUGUUACCUUAGAAAUGUCAGAUAGUUAGUUUAUUUCCAUCCAAAUUGACAUAAUUAGCUUAGUAUGGUCAAAAAUGGCAUAACAACCUUGGUUAGCUCAAAAAGGUCAUAUACUUAGCUUAUUUUUCUUCAAAAUGACAUAAUAAGCUAAAAAACGUCAUAUAUUUUGUUGUUCUUUUUCUAACUUUCUUAUUCCCAUUUUGGAAAUUGGAUGUACUACAUGGAAGCUGGCAUUGAUGGAGUGCUUUAGUUCUAGUUUUUAUUUGAGUUGAUGAACAAUGUGGAACUAUAUGUACAUAUAUAUAUGGAUGAACAGUAUAUGUGGAACUAUAUGUAUAUGUAUAUGGAUGAAACCUUGUAUAUGUUGGUUCUUUCGAAUAUGGGAUGUACAUUGAUGAACAAAUGGCAUUGAUGAACUUUAUAUGUAUAUCAUAUAUGUUUUGGGAACUAUAUAUCAUAUAUGUGCUAUGAAUUAUAUAUAUUAUUGUUGGGAAAUAACAUAAAAUAAACAAAACAAUGACAAUAUGGGCUCUUUUUCGUCUGCCAGCUGAUGGCAAAAGCCUUUGCCAUCAGGCAGCAAACGACAAAGGUGCCACAUGGCAGUCAGCUGUGCAACCUGGGGCAGCAGGCAGCUGACCCGUAUAGGCUCUUUGCCGUCUGCUAUCCUGCCCAGGAAGACAACAAAGAGCUUGAGGGAGGCCAAUGACAAAGAGCCUGAGCAGCCGGCUGUGCAACCUGAGGACUGGCCCAUAUAGGCUCUUUGCCUUCGGCUACCCGCCAUGGCAGACGACAAAGAGCCUGAGGGAGGUAGACGGCAAAGAGCCCGAGGGAGGCAGACGACAAAGAGCCUCCGUUAGCCACCUAAUGGAGGAGUUGCAUGUCGGCUGCCGUCUAAAGGUCUUUGCCGUCUGCUCAAUACCAAAGGCAGACGACAAAGCCCUUUGCCGUCCGCUUAGUACCAAAGGCAGACUACAAAGCCCUUUGUGGUCCGCUUUGUGCAGGCACACGACAAAGAAGGUACUUUGCCAUCAAAAGCUGUCGUAGAAACUUUGCCGACAGGAGGCGAACGACAAAGACCUUUACCGUUCGUGGAACACCUCUUUGCCGUCUGUUAUGGCAGAUGGCAAAGAGUCUGACUCCUGUAGUGAUGGUAGUUUAAUUAAUGGACUUUGGGAGUGCCAAAAAAUGGUUAAAAAAACUUUUGGCAGGGUUGAAAUGUAGGAGAUUGUGUAGAUGAUGGCCCAUGUGUGCCAAAUAGUGCCAAACUAGUGUACCAAACAAGCACAAAAUUUACCAAACGUGAGCAGUGUCAAAACACAUUGCCGGAAUUUACGCUGGCUUUAACUAAUCACGAAAUGGAAGGAGUGCCAAAACAAUGCCCAAAUGAUACCAAAUCAUUGCCAAAAAUAUUUUCGUAACCAGUGUUAAUUUUUGCUAGGCUAAAGCCAUGAACUAGCAUUAAUUUUUGUUUGUUUGCUAAAACUUUGACACAGCCAAAAGUAUAGUUAUUUGUUCUAGGACAUGGCAUUUUCUUGGUGCAUUGUAAAAUUAUUGCCAAAUCAGUGCACCAUUACAUUUUAAAGAAUUUUUUGCUAUAGUUUAUGGACAAUAUAGUGCAUUAGUUAUCUAUGCCCAUCUUAUACUUAUCAUUACUUACUAUUCAGAUACUAUUGUCGUAUUGUUGUCAUACUAUAAUGCUUCAAACUGUUGUCAUAUGUCAUAUAUUAUUGCCAUAUUUUUUAAUUUUCAUAUGUCAUGUGUUGUUGUCAUAUAUAGUUCAAUUGUCAAAUGCCAUGGUAUAAUGACAUGAAUAGGUACUAAACUUCAUAGUUCACUUGUCAUAUAUAUGUUGGUCCUAGAUGUAGUUGUUUCAGACCUGACUUGUUAUUAUGUUGUAGUUGGUACCGAUGAGUUCUUGCAACUUCGUGAUCUAUGCCAACGGUGGCAAAGAGAGCACCAACCAGGUAAGAUUCCAAACACAUCCAUGAUCAUUGCAAACACAUGCAUAUACCUAACCAUUCAUGAUGAUUGCAAACAUUUGACUUGGUAGGGGUAUUUCUAGGAGGAUGUAUAUGAUGUGGACAUGCUCAACCAAUUGCUCAUUAGUCUCAUAAAAAUACCAUGAAUAAUCUAAAGGAGGUGAAUGCCUGAACGCGGGGUGGCAUCAAUUGCUUGGCGAGAGGGCAGAUCCCUUUAGGAAAACUCUUACGCUGAGGGACCAGAGGGAUGAGCUGAUCAAGCAGAGGGAUAAGCUGAAGAAUGAGAGAAAGUUCCUCAGGGCCGAGAGGAAUGAGCUCAAGAUGGGGAAAGCUCAUUUUAGAAAAUAAGGAGAGCACAAUAGACACAUGAUUCAAUAGUUAAAGUCAAUCCUUGAUCAAUAAAUAUGAUUGACCACCUAGCAUGCUAGCUAUAGAUGAUGUAGUUUGGUCAUUGAAUUGUGGAAUUGAUUGAACUAGCUAGUUUAGUUCUUGAUGAACUACUUACUUAUGUGUAGUUGACUAGUUAAUUUGAACUAGUUGAUGCAGUAAAACAACUUAAAUUAGUUGAAAGUUUACAUGUCUGCAUAUUUUUAUAUUCAAAAAAUAAAAUUGCUGGCGUCGGGACAACAAGGCAUGUCGGUGUUAACAUACACUUAGUGAUGGUGUUGCACAUGUGGCAUGCCAUAAGGACUUAAAAUAUUCUAGACGUGUGCUCCAACAUCACCAGUAAAUUUUGGCACUGGCACCAUAUUGGUGGCGUUGGACACCCAUGCCACGCCAGCAAGGCCAAUUGUGCCACGCCAUUGCUAGAAUUUUGUGCACUAGUAUGUCUCACUGGUUGGUGUUACACGUUGCAGCCACAAGUACAUUCAAAGUUCCCAUAUGAAUUUUUAUUUGUGAGAAAGCGGUUAUUUGAAACAAAUAUUUUAUGGUAUAUCUAUAAAUAUCCGUUUGAACAAAAAAAAUACAAAUACAUCCAUACAAGAACAUCAAAGAAAGCCCACAUGGUAAAACUUGAGCAAUAUCUAAGGAAAUGUGGUGAGGGUUGAUCAUCGAUAUCCUGAAACAACCUCUUGUGCGACUUUAAUGCAAAAUAAUCGUCACAUAGUUUGUAAUCAACAAGAAAAGAUAGGAAAUUCAUAGGAUGGCCAAUUUACUUGUGGACCGGCUCUAGUAUCAAAGCGUUAACGGCCAGCUGAAUGUGGUACAUCGUCACCUUGUCUCACUUUCCAAUUGUUAAAAUCAGGUUUUGGUUGGUAGUCAUGCAAUUGGUGAGAGCGAAUAUAUGGUGUCGCAAAUAUAUGGUUUUACUAUGCAUAAAGGUGAAAAAUAGAAAACUGAAGCUGCUAGAUAGUAUUAACCAUGCCCUAAAAUAAUGUGGUGGGCCAGAAACGCACCUUCAUGUCACACAUUCCCGACAGAUAAAUAUCGGUCCAUCUCAUGCCUCUCAACUCCAAUUUUUAUGUCUUCUAGCUACAAGAAUGGGGAUCAUCCAUUUAUCUAGUGAGUAGUUGGAGAGUGUCCAUUAUAUCUAUGCGGAUUGCGUAGGAUUAAAAAAUAUCAAGAAUGAUUCUACAACUAGGAGACAAAGAGUAUUAACAAGGUUACUCUCCAAGGCCGCACCCUCUGCAUAAUUUGGCGAUUGGCCCAAACGGGGAGAGAGCCCUGCGGUCCGGCAGGCACCGAAGACCACUACAUGCUCCGCUGACUGGUGGGGUGAUACUUGUUGGGAAACGCGUGUGAUGAACCCACUAAUGGUGGAGUACCCCACUAGCCCAUAAUGGACCAAUGCGUGCCAAAUUUAAUGUUAAGUGGGCACCUAAACCCAAUCCCAUUAAUUUAUAUAAAGAGGGGAGCCCCCAUUGUAUCAAAAGUUGACGAAUCAUUAAUAAAGAGAGCUCUAUCCCUAUUUCUCCUUGUCAAUUUUAUUUUCUGUAGUUUCAAAUGAUCAACUACUUUCUCUAUCUUUACCCAAAUCCACCUAUGCGGAUCUAGCUACCUAAGUUUGAAUGAGAUGAGAUUCAAGACGAUAGUUAUCUUCAUCUUUGUUAGUAUUGUUGUUAACUAUGUUGUUUCCAUCACAAGAUUUUAUUCUUUCAGCGCUUCCUCUUAUAAAAGGGAACUUGCGAUGUCCUAUCAAGUUUGUAGCACAAUAUAUCACCUCUUAACUCCUUUGUUAUUUGUUCUAGUUGCUUCGCUGUCUUUACUCCUAUCAUUAAAUGUUGCAUUGCACUGCAUAUGUAUAUUUCCUUUUCCUCAUUUCCGUCAAAUUCUCAGCUGACUUGCAAGUAAUUUCCACAAGAGGUUUAGCUGCUUGCCAUUGCCUAAUAAUACAUGGUUUAGCUUCUGUUCCACGACCACUUGCUUCUGUCAAAAGCCACUGCCAUUGCCUAAUAAUACAUGGUUUAGCUGUUUGCAAGUAAUUUCCAUCGCGUAUGUUUGGAAUAAGCUCGCUUUAGUGUUGCUAGAAUUUACCGAUCCAUUAAACCACAAUGCAUCAUCAUGUAGUUGCCGUGUGGUGCUAUUGUGGCCAUUAUAUUCUUCAUUGCAAUUUUAUUCAUCACCACCCUCAACACGUGAUCCACUUGUACCAUUGUGAACAUGGUUAUGUAUUGCAUUAUCUUCCGAUAUCGGUGCAACUUCUUGUCCGCAUUGGCCAUCAACCGUAUGGUUAUCAUCUUGACCAAUAUGUACAUUGUCCCUUCGAUCAAGAUUCCUUGACUGAUCACAAGUGUUAACAUCCAGUUUGUCGUUGCACAUUCCCAUCCAUUGAGAAAUUGUUCUUUACUCUUAUGCUCCUCACUCAUACUUUUAUCAGUUCAUCGUUGUCCCGUAGUGUUUUUGAUAUGUGCCAAUUUCUAUAAAGAAGAAGUGUCAAUGUGUUACUUUUUUUCAUCAGUGUUCAUCUAAUGUGCAAUCUAAACAUAUAUUUAUAACUUUCUUUGCUACUUUAAUUUUGUAUGCACCAAAUGGGCACAAAUCAAUCAUGAAAAAUGCAGGGUUUGUCCACUUCUUUGCUUUCCUAAAGGAUGUGUUUAGAUGUAUUACAGUGUUGGAUACAUCCAUUUGAGCGACAGUUAAUUUCGGAUGGAAGGUGUAGUAGAUAGAUGUGGGAAUUAGAAAAUAUAUUAAACCAAUGACAUGAAAAGUAUAGAUGCAUGGAUAUAUAUACUUCCUUCGCGGAAAUUGCUUUUGGCUCCCGAGCUCCAUGGAGCCCUUUAAAUUUGAAACUCAAAUUUCAUGAAAAUUCAUAUUUUUACAUUUCAAAAAAAUCUGAAAAAUAUACAGGGAUAAGUGAAGGCGUAACAUACAUGUGUGUAAAUUUUCAGAAAAAAAUACAUCGAAAUGAGGGCUGUGCAAAAAAGACAAAUCUGAGGCUUUUUUACACAUGACACUGUUCAUCAUUUCAGGUCAUGAAUUUGUCUUUUUUGUGCAGAUCGUAUUUCAAGGUAUUUCAUCCUAAAUUUUUGCACACAUAGGCAUAACAUCCUUCUUUACUUCCAUAUUUUUUUUCAGAUUUUUUUGAAACCGAAAAGUUUGAAUUUUGAAUUAUUCAAAAAUUUCGGCCUCUAUGGAGGCCGAGCUCCAAACGUCCACACUCCUUCCUUCGUCCCAAAAUAAGUGUCGCUGUUUUAGUAUAAAAUUUAUACUAACUUAAUAUUAAAUUUACAACACUUAUUUUGAAACGGAGGGAGUAUUUAUUUUACUUCAUAAAACAACUCUUCAUCUGUAAUAUGGAUACCCUACGCGUUUGCUCACAUGUACUACCUACUAUUUUAAGCUUUGGCCGAGUCAGAUAGUCACCCCGCGCGCCGCCGGACAUGUUUAUGUCGAGCUCCACAGAAAGUUUCCAUCGUGGAAGGAGAUGCCACAGUAAACAAAACAAAAACAUAUGCAGCCAAGCCGGCCAAGUCCUUUCUACCACGAUGCCAGGUCAAACUUUCAAAGAAGCAGGUCUUCGGUUCACACAAUGUUAUUGUUAUGGCCAUUUGCGAUAAGACGUUCGUACUACACCUAUAAAUAUCAAGUUUUAAAUAGCGGGCUACGGCAAAUAGCGGCGAGCCUCUAAAUCAGCUAUAACGAAGCUAUAGCGGCAUAUUUAUACAUGAUACCAUUUAGCGGCACCUUGCUGAAAAGGAUAUAGCGAGGCUGUAGCGGGGCUAUAACGGGCUAUUUAAAACUAUGAUAAAUAUAUGCAGCCAACGCAAGGCAAUGCAUGUCCUCAACAUCCAUUUGAACACCAGAAGCACUUGCAGUCUAGCUCGUCUGGGAAAGCUAGCACGUGGAAAUGGGUUCUUAUUCAGCUUCGGACGAGAAACCCGCGCAGGGGCACGUCAUCCCAAUGCUUGACGUGGCCAUCAUGCUCCACGCCCGCGGCUUCCAUGUCACCUUCGUACAACCAUGGCCGCCUAGUCCGUGCGCGGGCCGGGUGCGGCGGCGGUGGCCGGUGUCCCGGGGUUCCGCUUCGCCACCAUCCCGGACGGCUUGCCACCGUCCGACGACGACGUCACACAGGACGUUUCGUCGCUGUGCAAGUCCACCGAGGAGACCUGCCUCGUGCCCUUCCGUCGCCUCCUCGCGGAGCUCAACGACCCCGCCACAGGCCACCCGCCCGUGACCUGCGUUAUCUCCGACGCCCUCGUGGAUUUCUCCAUGGAAGCGGCCAAGGAGCUCGGCCUCCCCUAUGUCCAGUUAUGGACAUCCAGUGCCGUCAGCUUCGUGGGUUACUGCCAGUACCGCCUCCUCUUCGACCGCGGCCUCGCACCGAUCAAAGACGUCAAACAGCUGACGGAUGAGUACCUUGACACGCCGGUGGAAGACGUGCCAGGCCUGAGGAACAUGAGGUUCAGGGACUUUCCCACCUUCAUACGCAGCCCGGCCCCGUACGACUUCAUGUUGCAUUUCGCGCUCAGGAUCACAGAGCGCGCGGUCGGCGCUUCAGCGAUGAUCGUCAACACCUUCGGCGAGCUCGAGGGAGAGGCGGUUGCGGCCAUGGAGGCGCUUGGCAUGCCCAAGGUCUACACCAUUGGGCCGCUCCCGCUGCUGGCGCCAAGCUCUACCAUCAGCAUGAGCCUGUGGAAGCAACAGGAGGAGUGCUUGCCAUGGCUCGACGACAAGGAGCCCGGCUCCGUCGUGUACGUCAACUUUGGCAGCAUCACCGUCAUGACCAACGAGCAACUGGUGGAGUUCGCGCUCAAGAAGCUGAAGGCUGCAACGGAGAUGGAACACAAGUUGAAGGUUCCCGCUCUAUGGACAGAUCGCGGCGGAGAAUUUACGUCGAAUGAGUUCAACGACUACUGCGAGAAGAUUGGCAUAAAGAGGUUCCUCACGGCACCUUACACGCCGCAGCAGAAUGGGGUCGUUGAAAGGCGCAAUCGAACCGUCGUUGACAUGGCAAGGAGUUUACUCAAGAGCAAGAACCUGCCGGGGACUUUUUGGGGAGAAGCUGUCUCGACGGCGGUCUAUCUUCUCAACCGGGCUCCAACGAAGGCGGUGAUCGGCAAGACUCUGUAUGAAGCAAUUUACGUACGUAAGCCGAAUGUGUCUCAUCUACGGACGUUCGGGUGCGUGGCACAUGUGAAGACGGCGGAGCCGCACCUCUCAAAGCUUGCCGAUCGUAGCACCAAGAUGGUAUUCAUCGGUUACGAGAGAAGUUCCGGCACCAAGGCAUACCGCUUCUACGAUCCACAAACCAGGUGUCUACGGAUUUCCUCUGGAUCAUCCGUCCCGACCUCGUCAAGGGAGACACGGCGGUGCUCCCCCCGGAGUUCUCGGCCGAGACGGCGGAGCGUGGGCUCGUGGCCUCCUGGUGCCCGCAACAGCAGCUGCUCAACCACCCGGCCGUGGGCGCGUUCCUUACACAUAGCGGCUGGAACUCAACGCUGGAGAGCAUGUGCAGCGGCGUGCCGGUCAUCAGCUGGCCGUUCUUCGCAGACCAACAGACCAACUGCCGGUACCAGUGCAACGAAUGGGGCGUCGGCAUGGAGAUCGACAACAAUGUCCAGAGUGACGCCAUUGCGGACCUUAUUAUGGAGCUCAUGGAGGGGGACAAGGGGCUGCUGAUGAAGAAGAAGACGCAGGAGUGGAGGGAAAAGGCAGUCAAAGCCACAAAGCCCGGCGGCUCGUCUCACCGCAACUUCCAAGAGUUGAUCGCCAACGUAGUGCUAGCUCCUCGCCGCUCCAUCAUUCCACCACAAUCCUAGCUACUCCAUGAACUCCUGCCUGGGGUCCUUGACAAAGAAACAAUAAUUGUUGUAUACCUGCUCUAUGAUGUACAGUAUCAUUUAGUCUACAAAGCUUGCACUCCGUCUAUUUUCAAUUUAAUAACUAGCCAAGUGACCAUGGCACAACAUUUCAGCUUUCAGUAGAAUAUAUAAAGUGAAAGUUAGUUGUCAUUUGACUUACUAUUUAAUAUCACUAGCACAGUGGCCUGCGCAGUGAGCGAGCAUCAUCUGAAAAGUUGGUGUAAAAUAUAUGCUGACCAUAAAAGUAUUACUCCAUUAAAUACAUGGGAAUAGAAAAUUAGCAUCAACUUUAAUUAGGCAAAUAAGCAUGACUGUGUUGUGCCACGGUUCAAAACUAUAUGCAUAAUAAACACUAGACUUCAUUUGCAGAAAUCAUUCUUUCCCUGGUCUUUUAGUUGGAUAAGAUUGGUUCAUCAGCAGGCGUUUCUAAAUCUAUAAUUGGCAAACAUGUUAUAUACUCCCUCCCUCACAGUUUAGAAGGCAUGCACGUGUAUCUAUGUCAUUAAUUUAACUUAUAUAAAAUAUAUUGUUUAACAUAAAAAUUAUAUCAUUAAAAAAUAGAUCUUCUAAAGUUUCUAAUGAUACAUUUUUUGUAAUAUAUGUCUCUCAUUAAGUUGGUCAAAUUGACGACUUAAGUACAUGUGCCGGACUUUUAAACUGAGUCGGAGGGAGUAGGUUAAUCUUAUAUUAUUCUUCGUCCAAGAAUAAUUAUUAUUAUGCUACAGGAUAAUUAAGCAUAACUAGCGUGCACUAUCAUUCUCUCCAUCCAUUAAAUAGAAGAAUAGUUUUAAACAGUGGGCUAUGCCAUUCUUCAAAUAAACUGAAAUGUGAGAAUAGACUCUUUAUAUCUCCUCAUAAUAUUUUGGUUCAUAGACACUCCAUUAAGAUUGCUGAUGAGUAGAAGCUGCAAGAUCUUCUACGAAAGCGAGGCACGACAGUGAGGCAAAAUGCUCUUCGACAAGUGGAAGGAAAGUUAUAAGCAUGCAAUAUGUACUACAUCCCAUAGAGCUAGGGAAACAACCUACGAUGCUCAGUAAUUGCUCUACAAUCUGAUGUCAUCUUUUGGUUUGGGCUUGAUGGCGUGCAUGCCAAAAUUAAUAAUGAAACUCCAACUCUCCAUGUAGCAUAACCGUCCAUGCUUCAUUGUUCUGAUGUAGGAAGUUAGAUAUCACAAUUUUACAAUAAUCGAGAUGAGCAACCACUAAACAUUUAUCGAUGGGAUACCAAAUAAUGCAAACAUACAUUCGCAUUACUAGGAAAAACCUUAACAGUAGCGCUGGUUUUUUAGCUACCAGUAGCACUGGUAGGCGCGCUACAGCUACGACGCUACAACUAUAUUUUAGCAGUAGCAUGUUUUUUACCAGUGUUACAGGUAAAAUUCUAUAUUAGUAGUGCUCCUCUACCUGGCGCUACUGCUAACUAUCAAUAGCGCGUGUAGUAAAGGGGCGCGACUGUUAUACAUGCGCUGCUGUUAAUUCUGGUCUAGCACUACUACUAAUAUUUGUAUGUUUUUUUUGGGGUUUUUUCUUUGUUUAUACAGAUACAACUUCGUUACGAUAACAAAAUGCAUAUUCACUGAAACACAUAUCAUACCAACAUGAAUAACAUAAGGUCUUUCAUCUAAUAUCAUCAUCAUCACUAAUGGUCGAAAAAGCCUGCAUGGAGGAUCACCCCAUUGUAUAGAGAACAUGACACCCUUCACAUGGGGGCUCGGAAAAGAAUUAUACUGAAUGUGUGCAACUAUCUAAUAAAACUCCAUUCAUUUUUAUCUGUACGAUAUAUAUAGCUUGAUUUCCAUAGCAAACAUAUUGACUCGAUUCCCUAGGAAAUAGUUUGUGGGCAUCUCAAUGCACGAAAGUAGAGAAGAAUCUUAGGUGCAUAUGUGCCUAGAGUGAGAAGGCCAGUAUUCUCGAGAAGAUGAUCUUCCUCUUUUAAAUAUCUGGAUAACAAAGAUCAAUCCCCACUUGUCUAUACUUCUAUACUUAUACUAAUUAGAGACUCUCAAGAAAUUACCAUGUUAAUCAGAAAUUAGGAGCCGUUAAUCCGGUGGGACCGAAUUAUUACGGCUCAGAUCUACCAAUAAGAAUCUAAUAAUAUAUAGUCGAUGAUAAGUCCUUGAAGCAGUUCAUUGUAAAUAUAUCAUCAUAGAAUUUCCUUCUCCUUUAAUCAGUUACAUUAACGUACAAAAAGAUAUCACACGAUACUUGAUUUCCUCAAAAAUAAUAAGACUUGAAUCACCGUUAAAAAACAAAUAGAUCAUCCCAUAAAAAAAGAUAUCUCAUGUCCUAAAACAAGAAAUAUCAUCACAUAAUUUUCUUCUCCUUUAAUCCUGAUACAAUAAACAGGAGAUGUCAUUCUAUAAAAAAAAAAGGAGAUGUCACGUAAUCUCCAUUAAUCUCUCAUCUCCCACGCUGAACUUGCCAAAUUUUCUGUAGCUUUCCUUCUCUAGCACGGCAACAUUAGAUCUCCAUCUAAUCUCCAUCUAUUAUGCUGUAGCUUUCCUUCCCUAGCAAGAUAAUGGCUAAUCUCCAUGUAAUUCCCCAUCUUCUACACUUUUUUGUCCAGAAUAUUCAAUCUUCCUCACCCUCGCGGCUUGGGUUCCAUCCAUGAAACCUUUGCAGGAAGGAGGAGAAGAUCGCAGAGGACGGCCCUAAUCCAGUCCACCAACACAUCUAAUUUUGUGGAUGCCAUGGAUGCAAGGACAUGCAAAUUUCUGUAGCCCUCCUUCUCUAGCACGGUAACACUUGAUCUGCAUCUAAUUCCUCAUCUCUUAUGUUGUAGCUUUCUUUCCUUAAGUCGAUAAUGGUUAAUCUCAAUCUAAUUCCACAUCUUCUAUACCUUUAUGUGUAGAAUCCUCAAUCUUAUUCUCCCUCACGAGUUGAGUUCAAUCCGAGAAACCUGUGCUGGAAGAAGGCCUAGAUUGCAGACGAGGGCCCUGAUCAAGUCCACCAGCACAUCUACUUUGGUGGAUCUUCUCAAAAAAAAAUCUACUUUGGUGGAAGCGAUGGAUGCAAGGACAUGCAUGUACGGAUGAUACAUGACCAGCAAGGGUGUUCAUGGGGUGGCGCAUACUUUACCCGUAGUGAUACAUGCUGCUUUUUUCAGGAUGCAGAAAAUUACCGAUGUAUUAUGUUACAGCAAACCCAUUGUUUUUUUAACGAGGGGAUCACCUGUUUUUAAACAUGUGUACAUAAUUUCUCUAUUUGUAUUUCUUUAAUUUAUCUCCAAGAUCCUCAAAAUAUUUAUAUAUUUCUACUAGCAAAAUGCAACCAGGAGUGCUGCAUACUAAAUGUAGAAUUUUGCCAAGUUCUGGUAAGUUAUUCAUUUGGCUGCUAUACAUGUGGAUGAUGACCUUUUUCUACUCCUGCAAGGGCUACCAAGAGCAUGCUACAUAGGUAACCUUAUGUUAAACUCCCCUUUUUACAUAAAAAAUACGGUUGAUUUUUCUUAAUUUGCUUUAUUUUUUCCAUAUGCUGGGUCAAUUUAUUAUUCGUUCAAAGUAACAAGAAAAUGAAGAUUCUAUAACUCAAGCUGACAAGACGAAGGGCCACCCCGCCAGCGCUGCCGUCAUCACCGAUUCACCCAUCCAAGCUGAUGUUGUUGACUUUUACCCCAAAGGGGACAUGAUAGCCUUCACGUGAUUCUGUUUAUAUCUUUCUGAUUAGUUUUCCUUAGACCAGGUAUUUUGAUUAUCUAAUAAACAUAGCCCUCUAAGUUAGGUUCAUAUCAGGACUCUAGAUGCAGGGUUAUCUUCGCCAGAUUGUUUCUGAUCACCUAACAGUUGAGUCCUAGCUUGAGUGUAGGAAAUCUCCAUGAACAAAUUUCUUUAGAGAAAAUAGAACAUGCGAUCAAUAGUAACGAGGUGUGAUCAAGUAUACGAGUUAUAUAUGUAUCUCUCUACUUGCAGCAGUAAAAUUUAUUCUAUUCAUGCUGCUUCAGUUUCGUUAUUGGUUUGUUAUGGGAACAAAAAAAAAACUUGAGAUGGGUCUAUUAUUUUGGUUGACUGGAUUUCAUAAGUUCUUAUUGACAAUAACACUGAAACUUAAGUUAUGCUACAGAAAAUCGUACCCAAUCUACAUAAGAUACACUUUUAGUACCAUUAGGACCUCUGACAUAUGUGUUAGAUCCAAUAAGUUUUGUUGUUACUAAUUUUGGAUACUACUAAUCAUCUUCACUAUACCCACUGAUAUGUCUACAUGGCGCAUUAGAGUUCUCCAUUUCAUUAGGGUGGUAAUCCUCCUUAGAACAAAUAUUCUGAUAGAUUAGCAAUAUUUAGACAAUAACGUGGCCACUAUAGGAUAUUGGAAAUUUUUGGAUUACGACAACUAGGUAAAAUUAUGACAGGUGUUUCGUUUUUUUUUCAUAAUGAGAUUGCAAAAGUAUUUAUAAAAAAUGCAUUAAUAUUUUCCUCUUAUUUUAUAUUAUGCUUUACGGACCCAGACAAUGUUAGAAUUAGUCGUUAUUUUCUAUACUUUACUUUGUAGGUUCAUAGCACACUGUUGACUUUAUAGCCAUUCUCAAAAGCCAUGGGCUGCGUUUUCUGCCUAGCGUUGAUGUCUAUGUUGUUCCUCGACAUAAAACAUCAUGUAUUUUGUGACUUGCAACCUUUCCAGAAGUAUCUGUAUGCCUUAUUUUCUCAAAACAUUUACAAAAAUGAUAAAUAAAAUAAUCUUAAUUCCACGACAAUUUUAAAUUUUUUUUGCAUUUUGUUUCACAUUGCCUUUAGCAAUGUGUAUUUCAUUCUUAGUGGAGCUUUGGAAGAAUGAGAAAGCACACAUAUGUCUGGUAUAACAACGGUAUUAGUGGUUUCCAUCUGGAGUUGUGAGACCAUAUGUGUUGCCCUACAAUUGUUAUACAUAGUUGUGCACCAUAUGUUCCAUCCAACUGUAAAAUCUCUCUUUCUGAAAAAUAUGUGCAGAAACAUCAUGAGUCUUAUGGAUUAUUAUCUUUACAUGCUCAGCAGAGAGAUCAUAAGGUCUCAAAGGAGGUGUAUUAAUAACCAAAGUAUUUUCUACUUAGUCCUUUGUUGUGGUAUAUUAUGUGUUUAGAGUGAUACUACUAGCCCGUGCAAGUGCACGGGUUGGCGACUAGUUUUAUUAACUUCCUGAGUGAUGUGAUAGACUCUCGCUCGCUAUUAUCAGUUCUUUUAUCAAGAUAAAAUAACUGCAUUUGUUUCCCCACUUAUGAUUUAUUUCCCCACUUCCUCCAGGGAAUUCAUACAUCAGAUAAUGAUUACUACAAUAGUACAACGGUGCACUCAAAUCAAUGAAACCAUCAAGGUGAGUUCUCCUCAUGAUUGUAAUAAACCUGCUCAUGAUCUCACCGCUUUGUAUGUUGGUGUCGUCCAUGAAAGCCAUGCUAUGUGGUUGCUCUACAUAACAUAUUUUCUAGCACAUUUGAUCAUGGUGAUGUAGUCAUGGAGGAGUGGACCACAUGAUAUCCUAUGAUGUGAUGAAUAUAGGAUUUUACUACACAUAAAUUUAAAGAUAGCAAGUCAAAGCUGCCUAGCCCAUGUGCUAAAAUAGCUCCUAAAGCACACAAAAUACAUGCAAUGUGGUGGGCCAGCGUGGCACCUUCAUGUCACCAUACCCAACCAAUAAAUACCAGUCUAUCCAAUGUCUCUCGACUCCAAAUCCAAUUUCCUUUAGCAAUGAUGGACGGAGAUCAAUCUAUGUCGGACUUCUUACUUCCAAUUUCUAAUUCUUCUAUCAACAAAGGGUUGUCCAUAUAGUAUAUAGAGAGUGGAAAGCCGUUUUAAAACAUUUAGGCUUGAAAGGCACCGGGAACAAUUCUACGGUAAUGAGGUUGAUUCUGUUAACCAAUUCAUUUCUCUUAACUAGCUUAAAUGUAGAAGACGGUGGUUGAACUGGGUUGGAAGAGACCUUGUGGCUAAGCCAACGUGGGAGACAAGUAUAGUCCCUGCUUUGUGGUGCAGUGCACUCACCUACCCGAAAUAAAACACAUCCAGAUUAGGGCUUGCAUCUCCGUGCGCUAGAGUAUUUGUUUUGUGCAGGAUAGGAAAUUGCACAUCCCGACAUGACACAGUUGUUUUUCUCUCAACAUGAACUGGGCCCACUUGUGUAUGCUAAUUAUUUCACCCAACACAUUAGUAUUGUCCAUGAUAAAGCCACACUAAUUGAGUCCAUUGCAUGCUUAAUGCAUAAUGCAAUACAAGUGAGCACCGAUCUUCUAUGGCGGUGGCGCGCUCUCCCUCCGUAGUAUCUCGUGUUGAGAUCUACUAGCAAAAGAACCCGUGCGUUGCAACGGAAGAAAAACAAUUAUAAUCUUCAAUGGUGCUGAUCAUAUUAUGUCUUUAAAAUUUUAUGACAUUUCUUAAAAUGCAUGAACAUUUUUUGAAUUAGCAAACAUUUUUUUCAAUUGCACUCAAAAAAUAACACACAAGCUUUUUUUCAAAAUCCUGGACAUUUAUUGUUUUCACUAACAUUGUUCUCAAAAUUAUGAACAUUUUUCUGAAUAUGCGAAUAUUUUUACAAAAGUCCUGAGCAUUUUUUGAAUUCACAAACAUUUUAUAUUUUCUUCAAACUUUUAUUUCAAAAUUCCCAGUUUUAGAAAUUGCAAAAGUUUUUCAAAGUUCUAAAUUAUUUAAACAAAAAAAUGGAACAGAAAAAUGAAAAUAAAAAAUGAGACUAAAAACAGAGGCACGAACUGUUUUUAAUAUUUUUACACGGACUUUUGUUUAUAAUCGUUGACUUUUUUAUUUUAUGGACAUUUUCUCAAAGUUCAAACAUUUUUCUAUAUGCAAACAUUUUUCAAAACUCCUGAGUAAUUUUUGAAUUCUAAAAAAUAUAUGUUUUUUUGAAUAUUUUAUUUCAAAAUUCUCAGUUUCUUAAAAUUGAGAAAAGUUGUUUGAAGUUCUAAAUUAUUUAAAGUAGAAAAACAAAAUGGAGCUGAAAAAAAAACUAAAAAAACAGGCGCUCACGCAUGGGCCGGCCCAAACAGGUGUGCUGCAUCUUUUUCCAACACCCAAACCGUAAUAUAGGAGGUGCCUACAUGGGCCGGCCCAGUCCGGAUAUUUUUCUGUUUGAAACGUUUUUUAUGACUUAUAGGUGGCAUUGGUGGGUAAUUUUAGUCAACUUUAAGGGUAAUUUGGAUGACGUACGGAAGAAGCACUAUUUGCUUUAUUAGUAGGUAAAGAUAUCAUGAUUGUUUCAUUUAGGUAUGAGUAUUGUAUUUCAAACAUUCAGUCGACAGCUGUGCUAAAGGAAUGCUUCUCCUUUCCUAUAUCUUCCAUACUGAAGAUUCUUCUCGAGCAACAGCAUGGCAUCUAGAUCAUCAAACGUUAUUUUAUUUUCUAUUCAAAAACCAAAACGUGUGCAAUAUAUUUCAUUUGACCUCAAGGCUCACGCCCUACAAAACCAAAAAUUUCUCACGCCAUGGACAAGCUACAAAAGUAAAAGCGCAAUUCACAGUAGAUUCUACGAACUAGUUCUUGACGAGGGUGCUUGCGUGUCUAAGUAGUUGGGGGAGGUCUUUCGGGUGCCGCCAGGGAUAAGGCCAUCACCAUAUGUCGGUUGUUGUAGGUGUCGAUUGCCGUGACGCUCAGCUUCUCGGACGGCGUGAUGAUGCAGUAGUCUGGGACUUCCUGCACGGUUUCUCCCAGCUAUAGGUCAUUGGACAUGGGAGAUAACAUUCCUUCCGAUACUUUGGGCCUUACAAGAUUCUAGCAUGUGUUGGCGAUGUUCCAUAUUAACACCUGGAGCCACCCUCAACUUCUUAAGUGCACCUUGUAUUUUUCACUUCUUUAAGCUUCGAUGUGUUGUUCCUCGCCCACGGUCUCAAGCAUCCUGUCCUUUGAGCAUUCGAGACUGACAAUCCCUCUGCCCCUAUGUUGUGGUGAGUCGUUCGUAUAAGUAGUAAAGGGAGAUCAAGUCCUCGAACAAGGCUUGAUUCGUUGGUCCGAGUCGAUGGCACAAAACAAUACUUGGGAGCAGUGUCGGAGCUCUGUCAUGAUCUUAUCUGAAGGUGGAAUUCUUCAUCCAUCACAGCCGCCUCCGACAGUAGGCGCUGCUGUUGUUGCGGCCUCUCCUCCUCGUCCCCUUGCCGGAGGAGCUCAUCAUCGUGUGGAUGCCGAUGGACCCGGUUACCGAGGGCGGAUGCGCCACAAUCUGCCAGACGAAAAGGUCCCACCAGGGCUACCUACCAUCAUGGACACCAUGUCUUCGGCAUCGCCGGUGGCUUAGAUCGAAGAGGACGUAGAGUAGGAAAGACACGGGAAGGGGGGGGGGGGGGAAGGAGGUCUAGUGCUCUAGGCGAUGCCUCAGAACGGCUUAAAUAGUCGCGGCUAUGGGAGACGAUGGUGCGGUCAACCCACUUCAAUGGGGCUUAGCUGUUGGAGUUAGUUCCUGGGGAUGCGACAUCCGCGUUGAAGCCCCGAGGCCCAAGAAGUCCCAUCCGUCUACGUUGCCUUCCCGUCCGGUCAAAUCACGGUUUCAAUGACGGCCGCCGCAAGCUCUGGGCCGGAAUAAAUGUGGUGCGGCAAGCAGCGUGUCACAUGGGAUGGAAGGCGCGGGAAGGGUGGGUUGGUGGGCCGAGGCGGUCAGAAUUGUGCGAAGUACAGGUGUGGACUUCCGACCCACCCCCGUCCCACGCACGUUUGUCUCCUGUUUGCGGAAGAAAUUUCAUCCGAACCGCUCCACGGAUCAAUAGAGAACCAUGUUGGAUGGCUUUCGUGGUCCGGACCGCUGCGGCAGGUUUGCGGGUCCGCUUUGGAGAUGCCCUUAGGUUCAACUUAUUAUUGGGCAAAACAGAGAGGGGAAGAAAAUGAGGGCGGGGGAGGCAAAUUUCAUGUGAUUGUGAGAAAAUAGAAAUAUAUAAUUUCUUGACUUGUCCAAUGAAGUUCAACUUCAAAUAUUUAGAAAAUUUGCCAUUGUUUUACUUGUUAUCCUAAUAGGAUGCACUAUUUUCUCUUUUGAAUAGAGCGUGCAAAGCAGCAGCACUAAGAGGUUUGGUACAACAUCUGACAUAGGUGGAUAACUCCAUUGCAAUAUGCUUCUCAUACUUUGCUCUUUGUGCUUACUGACGUGACGUCUAUUUAUGGAUUCACAUUCCUUCUCUAUACUGCAUGUGUGAUGUGUGGGGUGUUGGUGUGAUGGCGCACUGAGUAUGCGUGUGUGUGGAUGUGUAUGAGGAUGCCCGUGCGUUUGUGGUGGAAUUUCUAUUAUGGAUUUUUUCAAUGUGUUUAAUGACAGGACUAAGAUUCCAGAUGUUUCCUCUAUCUUUCAGCUUGUGUGAAGUUAUGGUUGAAAGGCGUACAACUUAUGAGACCAUAUAUACGGCCCAAUUAAUAUAUGGUUUUAUCGCACAUAAGGUAAAGAUUGAAAAUCAAAUCUGAUUAGACAAGAGCAUCACAUGUGCUAACAUGGUACUAGAAGCAGACACAAUCCAUGUAAUGCGGUGGGCCAGCAACACACAUUCAUGUCACGAAUGCACAAUUGAUAAAUAUUAGUCUACACUGAGCCUCCCAAUUCCUCUUUCAAUUUUCUCUAGCAAUGAUGAACAUAGAUGGUCCAUAUAUCCUGAGAUCAGAAACAAUCCGCUAUAUUUAUACAAAUUAUGUCGGCUUGAAAGGCACCAGGAACUAUUUCACAGUAAAGGGAAAGAUCGGGUUAACCAGCUUUAUGUCUUUGACCUUACGGCGUGAAGGACAAGGCAAUUGUCCUAGGCAGGAAGAGAUCUUUAUAGUAGGGCAGAUGCGGGAGACAAGCAAAGUCUCCACGGAACAUCAUAAACAUAAAUACAUACAUACCGACAUCAGAAACAAGAGAAUUCAACUCAGCAGUAUGGGAUGUCCCUCCAGUUAUCUAGACAAUGCUAUCUAGCUAGCCACAUGAAGUGCUAAAAGCACCAUGACUUUCACACAUAUUGGGUGAUGAAGGACAACCCCAAUCAAUAGAGUAGAGAUCAUACGCGAGUGCAUGAACCAACCAUACACAACAACAUUCUCAUAAGGAAGUUGCUACCAAAUUGUGUUCCAGCUUGUAAGAAUAAAUGGAGCACAAAUCACUUCAUAGAUAUUUGAGGUGACUAGAGCAACACAACAAGCUAAUGGAAAUCACUAUAUUUAUUGCACUAGUGAUAGUUUGGAUUAAAACCUUUUGGAUGGAAGAAGGCGAGGAGAAUAACUAUAAGGACUAGAUCAGCACUAUAGCAUAAAUCCAACGCCAUGAUGAUCUCGGGGGAGAACGGAACAUCAUAAGCAUGUCUAUCAGUUCAAUUUAAAACACAUCAAAACCAACCUCGGUUUGAUCAGGCUCACCCUUCACGAAUCAUCUAAGCAGCGAAGUCGAAUGAAGGACAAUGCAUAUGAAAAAAGGCAUUCAUUAAUACUAGCCUAAAAUACCAUGCACGCUGUUGGAAUUAACCACGAUGUGUUGGUUCUCUAGCCCGGCACGGACUGGUAAAAGUAGCAGUCACCGUAUACGAGUAGGCGUAGGGUAGUCUAGCUAAUAUAAAUAGCCACAUACCUGUACGCUUGUAAUACCAGAUUGAGAUCAAAUCAAUACAAAAUAUUGACAGGAGCGACACGCUCUCAUGGACAUAACUGGUCUGCCUUAUGUGAGUUCAAGCGAUCCAAAUCGAUCAAGUCCAUGGCUACGUGCUAGUACGUUAAAGCUAGCUCCAGUGAAGAUCGAUCCACUUGCCUGCUAGUCUGCUACUUGCAUACGUGAACGUUGCGUUCUUCGAUCAGCCCAGCGGUCCGGAAGAUAAUCGAGCUACAUCGUUGCUGUCAUCUAAAAGUAUUCGGUGUCGGGUCUGGGCCAACACACGCCUCAACACAUGCAUCCUUUCUUUCUCGUUUCGCCUUGCUGAACAGGACACAAACCCUGUUAAAACUAAAAAGAACAAUAAAAAUGGAGAGAUCCAUCACACCACUAACGCCACAUGAGACGAAACAAAGUCUGUUAACAACUUCACUUCUCCAACCUCACCUGGUAGAGGAGAUGGCCAUCAGCCUGGACAGGAAAUAGACCUUUUGCGGGCCAGCUACCGGGGGAGACAAGUACAGUGCUCACAGAAUGCUGAAGUGACACUCUCUAACCCAAGAUACCCACAUCCUGACAUGAGGCUGCUCCUUCAUUUCCCAAGGUCCACAUGUUUAUUCCAACUGCUUUGCCUAGUACACAGUAGUAGUACAUGUGAUUCUAGAAAAAAUGUUAAAAAGUCACAUUAAUUAAGCUUUCAUAUCGUCCUUCAUGCAUAAUGCAAUAACAAUGAACAUCGAUCUCCUAUGCUAGCAGCACACACUCGCUUUGUAGGAUCUUACAUUGAGAUGUGUACCUGGAUUGUUUCAUUUUGGUUGAGCAUUACAUUUGCAAGCAGUUGAGAGUUGUGCUACUCUUUGUGCAAGCUGCACUAUUUGGGCACCAUUGGUUGAACCACUCGUUACUUGGGAGCGCGAGGGAAUGUUGCCUCCUACCCUAGCUCGCAUGUUAAAGAUCCUCCUCGAACAUCAUGACAUCUCCGUAACUAGGCUGUGAUUGAUUUCUUAUUCAAAAGAAAAAAACAAAUACAAUGUGUAAUGCAUCUCAUUUUACCUCAAGGCCCACAUCAUCUUGCAAGAAGACAAACAGUAAAAUUUCUUCGGACAAAUUACAAAGUACAAGCUUAUAUAGCUUUCCAAUCUAGUUCUCGACCAAGGGGCUUAGCACGUUGAAGAUGUUGAGGAGAUCCCGUGGGUGCACCUGGUGCCUGAUGGUGACUAGCACCGCGACGCAGACGGCCGGAGCGAAGGCCGUCACCAUCCAGUGGCCAUCAUAGGUGUCGAUCGUCGUCACGUUCAGUUUCUCCGGUGCUGUGAUGAUGAUGUAGUCCGGGCCUUCCUCCACAGUUGCUCUCAGGUAUAGGGCAUCUGUCACAUGACACGCGAGACUAAGCACCUAGGGGGAAGCAGGCGGCUACAAUACAAGAAUAGGUGACAUGUGUAUUAUCAUCUUUGUUAGCUCCAUCGGAAUCGCCUAUGACAGUCAAUAUAUGGUUUUAUACUACACAUAAAGUUGAGCAUAGCAUAUGAAAACCGGCUAGAGAAGAGUACACCAUGUGCUAGAAUAAUGUGAUGCAUGGGCCAGCAAGGCGCCUUCAUGUCUACCCAAUCGAUAAAUUAAUAUUGAUCUCUCUAGAUCCUCUCAGUUCUAAUUCCAACUCCCUCUAGCAACGAUGGACAUAAAUCUAUCCAUAAAUCCAAAGAGUGCAAAGUGUAAGGGGAUCGUCGAAAGCCAUAUACACCCCAGCCCAGGCAAAAGUAUGCAGGUGGCAUCUAGGGUUCGCCAACACAACGACGCAAUAUAAAUUAGACACUGCUACGAAUCAGUCGAAUGAUUUCUCUAGGAAAUCAUCCGCCUGCAUAGUCGUCCAUUUCUUCCCUCGCAGCUGUUGGAUUUGCACUGAAGAAACAACACGAGUUGCUGCAGAAGAAACGCCGCCUGAGUUCGCUAGGAGGAGCCGUACCCCCUCGUUGGCGAAGCUGGGCGUUCGGCAGCAACGGCAGCACGACGGUGCGCUAUUGCAGCUCCAACACAGGCACGUCGGUGCUACAACGCAGCUCCGGCGGUCCGUCGUUGCUCUUGCCAUGCGCCAUUGCAGCGCCAACACCGACACGUGGUGCUCCAACGCAACACCAGUGGCCACCGGCGAAGCUCCAUUGCAACACUAGCUAGUGGCCCCCGGUGAAGCUCCAUCGGCGGUAAUGGGUGUUGUGAUGCAUCACGGGGCGAAGACGAUGAAAGGUGAGAUGGAGCGCCGACGGCCAUGGCGGAUGUUGUGAUGCAGCGUUAGCAGCGAUGGGUGCUAUGAGGCAGCGGGCAGGUCAUGGCGGAAGCUCCCCGACGCAUUGAGCGGCGGUGAUGGAGAGAGCUACGAUGCAGCACAGGAUGCUAUGAUGCAGCUCCGGCGGCCCGCGUUGGCGGGGAUGGGUGCUACGAUGUAGCACGGCGGCCAUGGCAGAAGUUCCCCGACGUAGUGCGUGGCGACAACGACGAAAGUUGCGAUGCAGCGGCAGCAGCCCACAGUGUUGCCGACGACAAUUGUGCCAUGCAGCGCUGCAACUGUGGAGAAAGGACGAUGCACCAACGCAGUCGGCAGGGAAUAAAAAUGUGCGGCUAUGGCUUCCGUGCGUGGAUAAGACAAAGAUGGGGAGCGGCACAUGAGCCAGCCACAGACACGUGUCAAUCUGUCGAGGAGUCUUACAUCUCGCUGUUUUUAGACGGUUGAUUUUAAUACUUUUUCAUAUAAAUUCCAAAGAGUUCGCCUCUCCACUUCUUAAAUUUAUGGAAACCACUAGGCAUCAGACGUCAGAUGCCGUGCAACCCAUCAGACUUCUUGCUUGCCGUACAAUUAGUGUUCUUUUGAUGCAUCCGAUCUGGAGUGGGAACCCCGUGGGUCUAGGUGAGUUAGCUACAUGCAAGGAUUUGUCGUAACUGCUUCCGUGAAGCACGUACAAUUAAUUUCUUUAAAACACGUACAAUCUGUUAUAACCUUAGUGGUACGGAACUAUUUUCGGUACUGAUCUGCGUUGGCAUGCCGGCCGAAACUCUCGGCCGGUCGCAUGCGAGCCGCCAGAUCCGACAGAUAAAAUCCUGUUUGACCGUUCGAUCUAUCCAUGCAGCAAAAAUUGUCGAUGGUAGCAAAAACAAGCAGCGAUGUAGCAAAUUUCGGCCACAUAUGCAGCAAAAACAUGGUUCUAGCAAAAAAUAUCAACAUGAUCGUAAUAAAAAAAUGAUGCUGAUGAUGCGUGGUAGCAAAAUAAAACAAUCCGAUGAACUCGGGUUACAACUUUGGCGAACGUGGAUGUAGCAUUUUUAUUAAACGGUUGUAGGAAAAAUUGAUACCGGUUGUAGCAAAAAUCAAUACCGGUUGCAGCAAAAAAAAUGAUCGUUGCCAUCGCAGGUCCGCCAGCAUGGAUGUAGCAAAUUCCGUCGCUGGUAAUAGCAAAAAUCACCAAAGGGUUGCAGCGCAAACAGAAAAAAUGGUCGUCGUCGUCGCAGCUCCACCAUUAUGAAUGUAGCAAAAAUCCCUGUUAGUAGUAGCAAAAAAAUGAUAACAGUUACAACAAACAAUGACGCCUAGCAGCAGAGGAAGGGGGUCCCUCGCACGACCGGCCGAAAGGUUCGACCGGCACGCCAUCGGGAAACGUUUCCCAACUAUCAUUUUUUUUAUGAAAAAUAACAGAUUGCUUCAUAUUGCGAACUAUGUUUCAAAGGAUGUUGUCAAAAAAAAAAUGUUUCAAAUCACCCUCUAAAAAAACUAUCUUUCCGUGGAUAUGAAAUUUUGCUUCCAUUGGGAAUUAAAUUUGCUCCCAUCUCAAAAUUAUUUACACCACAAAAUGGUUUAUUUCCAAUACAGUCGAAAGGAAUAUUUUUUUAAAAAUUGCCAGCUUGUUUCCAACACACUGAACUAUGUUUCAAAGGAUGUUGUCAAAAAGAAAAUAUGUUUCAAAUCAUCCCCUAAAAAAACUAUGUUUCCGUCGAUAUGAAAUUCUGCUUUCAUUUGGAUUUAAAUUUGCUUCCAGCUCAAAAUUAUUUACACUACAACGGUUUAUUUUGAACACAGUGGAAAGGAAAUUUUAUUUCAAUUUCUACUGAAAUUUUCUUUAUAGGUUCAUGCUUCCUAGGUUAUUGCUUUACUGGAAUUGCAUGCUUCGUGAUUUCUAGGUUUCCUCUCGACUAGACACUUCAACAAUUGGAUCCAGUAGAGUUCUCUUGAUGUUAUAGUUACAAGGUUUCUAGCCAUAUUUUCCCUGAAAAUAUGUAUAAAAAAUCAAUUAGAAUGCAUGAAUUGCCAUUUUCUUGUUACUUGCUCCUACGUAGCACUUAUGCUUCAAAUGUUGCAGCACACUUGAAAAAAUUGCUUCUGACACAAUUAGUGUUUGUUUCAAACUACAUUGGAAUCUGUUUUCAUCGAAUCAAUUUGCUUCCACAACAAUAUGAUGUGUUUCCAUAAUUUGUGUAGAAUGAUUCAUGUAUGAUUGUAUCGUGAAUAGAUAUAUGGAAGCAAACUCUAGCUAGAUGGAAGCAAACUCCUAGCUCCUCGGAAACAAGUUUUCAUUAUGUUUGAAGCGCACAUUGCUUCCUUUAUAGGGAUAUACUUCCACAACUGGUAACUACAUAUGUUCCCAUUGUUCAUGUCUUCCUACAUAGUGCAGGUGCUUCCGGUGGUAACCACUGAGAGGACCUGUGUGGCUAUUUCCACCACUUCACCACUCAUCGGUUCCUUGUACUCCAUUGCAUUGAUAUCCAUCAUAUCAUUGCAUGGGGCAAAUGUGAGGAGGCAUAUGAGAAUCAAAUGAACCAUGAUCAGCACUGUGUAGUAUAAAACAUAUGUACUACUGAAGCACAUACAAGAAAACAAAGAAGCGUGAUUUUUAAAAUAUAUAUAUAUAUAUAUUCAUUUCUUUACAAUUAUUAAGCCAUGAAAAUUAAUCUACCACAACAACAUUAUUUUCCCACCCGUCUAGCCAGCGUCACAAACACCCUGAAUGGACCAUUUCACAUGUACCGCGAGCUUGCUAUGGUCAAUAAGGCAACCAUCUCUUGGUUGUAGCUUACUCGGCAUCAUUACAACAUCUGCAUAGUCAAAUCAUCAAUGAGAAAUAAUGAAGUGCACACACUGGCAAUGGCGUAGUCAAAAAUUCACUCCAGGAAGAACCAGCGGCAGCGACUAAAGCACAUGGACGUAGAUGGCGAAGCAACAAAAUGUGAGAAAUCAAAAAGUAGGAAGCAUGCCUAACAUCAAGCAAUGAUCUGAUGUUCUCAUACACUAGAAACAUGGAAAUUUGAUUUGAGAAAUCUGCAUGCUUGUUGGAGUGGGUGCAAGAGUUUAAUGUCCGCGAUACACUGUUGCGGUGUCGCACCAUAUGUUUACAUUAGAAGCAUGUCGGAGAAAUCAUGGAAGCAUGCAUUCAUGGUUAAUGAGAAGCGCUAAUUUGUGUUUGCCAUAGCAUGCAUAUGAGAUGCAUCUGAAGCAUACAUGUUUGAAUUGACAAAUUAACCUGUUUUGUCACACAACACAUGUUAUACAUUAGAUGCGUUUCAAUUGAUUGAUGCAUACCUGAAUGAAGCAGAAAAAGAAUUGCAAACAUUAAUCAACACACGUGAGAGAAUGUUACCCUUGUAUGUACCCGAGGCUACAAUUGGAGAUCUGUACAAGACCUUCUUUCGUCGUUUCUUUUCUCUUGUUUUCUUCCAGCCUUGUGCAGGUGGCCAUGUAGUACUAGUACAACAGCAGCAGCAACAUCAUCAGGCACGUCUCAUCUGAUCAUCUCUCCUGUAGUUCUAUCUACAAAACUGGAUCAGCGCCUAGCAGCAACGCACCACACCACGCAAGCACAGACCCGGCCCAUGCGGCAGCCUGAUAGCAUCUUUGGGUGGUCCAUGGAGGGGAGAACGUCAUGAGGCGUCUUUGGGUGGUCCAUGGAGGGGAGAACGUCAUGAGGCGGCGCAGAAAGGAACAGGACGGGGACGGAGGGUUGUGAGCUCUUUCGAGGGAUAAUGGCAGGCAAGGCCAUUGGAGAAUCUCACCACCGCAGUGGGAACGGAGGGUCGCUGGCAGAGAGAACUUUAGGCUGCCCGUAAUGGGAGUAUCAUAGCUAGUAUCAUGCAUGCCAACUAAGCAAUUUCGAUGAGGUGGCAUAGAAUUAAAUGAAAAAAAAGGGGUUGGGUAUCAUAUUAUGAUACCGUAUCAUAUUAAAUGAUGUGCUACUAUGUGUCUUGCAUGGUAAUAAAUGAACUACUCUAUGAUACUAACAUAUUAUACUAUGCACUACGGAUGUGGUAUCAUACACUAGUAUCAUAUGCAUGAUACUAGUAUAUGAUACUAUCCAUUACAACCAGCCUUACAUCAUAGUGUUUAGUUCCUUUUGCUGUUUCAUGUGUCAAAACAAUUUAUUCCAACAUCGUCGUAUUAGUAAAUUACUGCAGAUUAAAUUAAUCAGCUAUGAGCAAUGCAAACUUUUGAUUAUGAUCUAGCUAGUUGAUAUGCUAUUUGCAAUGGAUAUCAGUUUAUUUAGUUGUUUUCUAUUGUAAGAGUGCACGAAUCUGAACUGAGGGUGACCAAAACCUACAAAAAAAAAUUUAACAUCAGCCUGUAGUCAUAAAUAGGCUUGUUCCUUCUUUUUAGUUAGAGAUUAUUCGAUAUUUUCCUUGUAAAAUGAAAAUAAAAAGAAAAUAGCUAGCUGAAUGAUUCUUUCAAUACUUGCAUUCCUGAAUGUUACUUGGAUAUCAUCUAAAUUACAUAUGAUCACACAUGAUCAAAUGCUUUUGCAAAUACAUAUAUACAUAGGAAAACUUCUCUGUGGGACUAUAUAACAAUUACUCUUGCUGUCUCACUCAACAAUAUAUCGACAUGUGAAAACUGGAAACCAGAAUACUUUGGCCUUCCCUUUUGAAUCUCCAAUCCAAAAUCUACAUUCUUCUCCUAGGGCGGCUCUAUGCUGAAAUCCGUAGGGAAUCAUAUAGUGGCCAAAACUAUGAUAGAGAAUUUGUAUUGAAUGUUCUUUACCAUACUCUUGGCCAUAUUCAGCAAUAGUUAUUAAACCACCCACAUGUACACAUUUAUUGGCAUCCUACGUAAAGAAAGCCUUUUUUUCUUUAUGGACUGUAGUGGUUAAGUGCAUGUUAACUGAGUAGUGAGCAUACAUCAAAUCAAGAAGGGACCCUUUCCUUCCGUUACCAUGAGAAAUUCAAUCUAAUUUUAACUGCCACCGGAUUUCAGCCAACAAUAAAGAAGAUCAUGCUUGAGCGUUCGCUCCAUCAGAUGGUCCCGACGCCACCAUCGCUGGCACGCGUGAAAGAGGAGUCACUAUCCCCGCCGCCCGUCCUCAUGAAGUGGGAGAAGGCAUCAGGAUGAGUCGGGGUCCCUGCCGCGCAUUGUUUCGUCCACCUUUUCUUGAUUUUUCCCACUUUUUAAAGAUGUCAUCCAUCUUUAGUAUUGAAAUGUCAUUUUUGGUGCAAAAGGCUUUGACAUCUUCCAAGAGUGGCACUCAACCAUCAUUUCUCCAGUUGAUCAAACGUGUUCUCACAUCUGUAACCAAUGACAUUGCCUGAAAUGAGACAAUUACAAUUUUAGACGCAUGUUUGUUUACAUGAGCGAAAUAUAUCAUAGAUUAUAGAAGGUGUCUACAUAUAACAAGAUCCAUCACAAUAUCACAUACCUGAACAACAUUUUGAUCCUUCUUCUGCAAUAGAAGAGACAAAUCAUUUGUCAUACGAAGGAUUUUUAGCAUCAUCUUCAGGAUGAAUACGAAGCUAAAAGUCUCCAUUUGAUGAACCAAACCUCAUGCCCUAAAUGGAACACGCACAUCAUCCUCCACAAUGCCCAGAACUUCUAUGACUGCAUCCCACAUUGAUUCAAUGCGAGAUAAGGUUGUGUAAUGAGAGCCCCAUCUUGUAUCUCCAGGUCUGACCAAGGAUGUUUCUUGAUUUCUCCCUCUUCCCGUGGGCAUCUCACCUCUCUCAAUCUUAUCCAAAAGAACUUCUUUUUGCUUGUCAAGCAAUUUAUCCUUCCUCUUGUAAGAUGAAGUACUAAGAUUAGCAAUCAUGGUCACAUAUUCAAAAAAAAAAUCCUCAACACCCUUGCAGCAUCUUGGAACAGCAACAACUACCAACUGCAAUUGGUGGGCAAAGCAAUGGAUAUAGAAAGCGUAUGGGUUCUCAUCUCGAAUUAACUUCUGCAGGCCAUUGAAUUCCCCUCUCAUAUUAGAUGCCCCAUCAUACCCUUGCCCUCGUAGUCGUGCAACAACUAGACCGUGUUUAGCAAAAAUCUCCAACAAUGCUUUCUUUAAAGAAGCAGAUGUUGUGUCCGGGACAUGUUUAAUGCCUAAAAAUCGUUCAAUGGUCUCUCCUUGCUUGCUCACACACCUAUGGAAAGUCAUAAAAUUAGUUGACCACUACAUAGAUCAAAAUGAUCAAAACGCACACAUACACUUAAAACUUAAACACAUACCUGAGAACCACAACCAUUUGUUCUUUCACAUAUAUAUCUCGACACUCAUCAAUAAGAACCGAGAAACGACAAUCACCCAUCUCUUCUUUGAUUGCUGUGGUGACCGGAAGUCAUUUUUCCGGAAGUCAUUUUGGCAUUCUUAGGGCAAAGCUCAUCAAAUGCAACUUUCACUUCUGGAAUUCUUUCUUUCACCCAAUAAAGUAGCUCUAAAAAGUUUCCCUUGUUCAAAGAAGUAGUGGAUUCAUCGUGUCCACGAAAUGGUUCACCUUGCAAUGCUAGAUAACUUACAAUGCCCAAAGAUGUGUCCACACGAGUUUCAUACUUGACCAGUGCAUCUUUGCUAUAAGUUGUAACUUCACUUUUCACACUUGCCCUUUGAUUUUUAAAAUCAUCACAUGCUGUUUUUGAAAUAUUGUGGAUGCUACAUGGAUCACCAACAUGUUUACGGAAUGCGGCAACCGCAUUUUUCCAACAGUCAAAACCCAAUUUGGAGAAAACAUCAUGCCCAAACUUAUCAUCCAUUCGGUCAUGCUUAAAAAGAUAACAAUAGAAGCAAUAGGCCUUAUGCUUUGUUGCACUAUAUUCCAACCAAUCAAAUUCCUUAUACCAUUGUGGCCGGAAGCAUCUACCAUCUCUAUUCGGGGGGAAAGUGCAACUUGUUGGUUGAGUUGCACCCAUUCGUAUAUAAGCAAAUCUAACAUCAUCUUUAAUGUUGGAGGCAAAUCUAUCAAGUGAAAUGCGAAGUCCUGGAUCACCAUUUAUAUAAUCUUCACUAAAAACAGUUAUACCUUCUGCUCCAUGAACUUCAACAUUCUCUUCCACUAUAGCUUCAACAGAUUCUAUAGUUUGUUCUUCCACUUGAGUGGCAUGUACAGAAAUAUUGACACUUUCCUGGAUGCUUGGGUUCAAUAUCGAGCUGCUGUCACUACCAAGCACUUCAAAAUAUCUUGUCAAACCUACAAUUCACAACAUUAAUACAUCACUACAAACAGAUUUGCUUGAAUUAAAGACUUGAAGCUGCUGUAGAAAUGCUACAAGAUUUAAAAAAAAUGAGAAACUACCUCCUCUCAUUUUCUUUGGAUUUGCUAUGUUCUUUCCCUUCCUUUCCAUCUUCAAAAAUCAAAAAACUAGAAAUUUGAUGGGCAAUCAGAAAAUCUGGAGGUAAUCCCCUUCAGAAAAUUUGGGGGUAAUCCCCAGCCCCGUUUGCCGAGGGGCCAGCCGCCGCCGCCCGUUUGCUGGCCCGUGCCCCCGAAGGCCGCAGCCUCGGCUGAACCUGCACGCCGCCGCGGCGUCCCUCGGAGUCGGAGCCCAGCGCCCCAGCCAUUGCCCGUUUACUGGCCCACGCCGCCGCAAGAAGCAGCCCCGGCUGAACCCCGCGCCGCCGCCGCCCGUUUGCUGGCCCGCGCCGCUGCGGUGUCGCGCGGAGUUGGAGCAGUCGCCACCUAGGGUUUGAUGUGCGUGCGGCGCUUCUGUGCGUGCCGUGGGGUGUGGUCGCGAUGGAGACUGGGGUGGUCCGUGGUCGUGAUGGAUCCUGGAUGAUGUGGCCUUUGUCUGGUGCGAACUGCGACGGGGAGAGGACCAGGCACGCACAGGUUGGGUUUAGAGAAUUAGAGUGGCCGGGUUAAUUAGUGAUUAGUAUUAGGUAUAUUUUUUUUUUUUGCUACAAAUCAAGGUAUGGCAGGUGCCAUACCCUGUCCACCGGGGAGCUCCGCCAGUGAGACCUUACAUGAUCCGACCAUCGCCAGUUAUCGAGCAGCGAUGAACGGAGGCCAUCAGGGCCACCUUCUACGUGGUCUGAUGCCUCCUAGCCCGUCUCUAUCAUCCGGAGCACCGCCUCCCCGUUGUUCACGUUACCACCGCGCAAGAUCACGCUGCAGUUAAGCUCCAGAACUGUCACAUGCACGACAUGCGCCGUCCAACUGUCCACGCGCCGGCCUCUUGCCAGAUCGAGAUGGAUGAUCUAGGCCCACGGCCUCACUCCUGGUGUUAUUCGUCGGGAGCACCAAGGGGACGAGCGUGCUCCAUGAGGACAGAGGCCAUCUAUGUUGGAUUUUGCUAGUAGGUCUUUAGCCCAAAGCCUAACUAAAAUCUGAAUUUAUUUUUGCCAAUUUUCUUGAUUGUAUGUGUGGUGUGAGUGGGACCAAAGUUUAGUCCCAUAUCGUUAGCUGGGAGAGAGCAACACCAUCUUAUAAGGUGAGCUCUUCUAGCACUUGUAAGAGAGUGCGAAGAGAAGAGACCCUCGCAGACUCCUCCUCGCCAUGCCUCAUCAUGACGCGCCAUGCCAUGCCAUGGGUUGCAGGAUUGAGCCGAGCAAAGCUCAUAGCUACGCGCUUAUUUUUGUUGGUCAGGAACGGAGAGUUCGUAACAGACAUAUCACGAUUUUUGCUGGUCAGGAACGAAGAGUUCGUAACAGUCAUACCAACUCGAACAUGGGUCCAGUCCACUUCUCUUCACCCCGUCGUGCAUAUAUACGCGAGGUGCCGCCAAUGUGAUGCUCUUCUUCCACCCACCUACAAGCUAGAGAUGCAGCCCGCGUUAGUCGGAAUAUCCCCCAGAAUCCAACUCACACCCGUGAAGGUCUCCAAGAGGAACUAGCUGCAAGCCUGCAACUGUCUACGAGUGAAAAGCCCGAUCAAACUAAUUCCGUUUUGUUCUAGGUCUAGUCUUCCAAGCAAAACAGCAGGAAGCAACAAACCAAACAGUUGUCUGUAGUCUUGCUGAUCCUGCCGUACGCGGGUGUACGCGGGCUGAUGUGGGCUGCCGCAGUGACCUGCGCUAAUGUCUCGCUUUGCUUUCAAAAAUGGUAAUGACAUAAGUUACGGCACGCAUGCACAAUACAACGUGAUGUUGAGGCACUCCGUUGCACAAUGCUGCUUACUGUUGUGAUCGGCACUAGGCAAGUUACUUUUGCCACGGAGUGUGUUACCCUCUUGCCUCUUUGGGUGCUGGCGCCACGGAUGUCAUGCCAAGUGGAUGAUGUGUGUACCAUAAUUUGUGUCCCCUUUCCUCAGAGGUGAUUUUGCAGUGUCUUAGUGGAUUAUAUUGCGUUCGAAAAAUAAUUUUUAAAAGAGUAAAAGGAAUCUUCGAAUGCCAUGUAUGGACUUAGCUUGCUCCAAGUCUAUGCCUUCAUUCACCCUCUCCAAUUGUAUCAUGUUAUAGUUUAGAAUAGUGGGAGGUGGGCACCUGAUAAAGGCAUAUGAGGCGGCAAAUAUAUGGCUUUACUAGGAAUAAAUGCAAAGAUAUCAAAUUAAACUGGUCAGAGACGUGCUAAAAUAAUGUUGUGGGCCAACGAGGGCAGUAUCAUAUACUAGUACCAUGCAUAUGAUACUAGUCUAUGAUACCACAUCUGUAAUGCAUACUAUUAUAUGUUAGUAUCAUAGUGUAGUUUAUUUAUUGUCAUGCAAGACACAUAGUAGCACAUCAUUUAAUAUGAUAAGGUAUCAUGAUAUGAUACUCAACCCUUUUUUUCUUUAUUUAAUUCUAUGUCACCUCAUCGAAAUUGUCUAGUUGGCAUGCAUGAUACUAGCUAUGAUACUCUCAUUACAGACAGCCUUAUGUCACUAUACCCAGUUGAUACAUAGAUAUCAGUGUCUCCACAACUUCCGAGGUCGAUUUCCAAUCUUUUUUAGCAAUUAUGGAUAGAGAUCGACCGUACCUCUGAUAGUGGAAAACGUGCAAAUUGUGUAGGCUUGAAAGACAGCGGGAACUGUUAUAUGGUUAUGGGACCAGGUUUGUUAACUAAUUUUAUUAUUCUGGUCAGACCAAAACAGCAGGAAGCAACAAACCAAACAGUUGUUUGUGGUCCUGCCGAGUCCCGCUGUACGGGGUGUACUAGUUCGCGCUCUACGGACAGAUCGUGACGGAGAGUUUACGUCGAACGAGUUCAACAACUAUUGCGAGAAGGUUCGUAUAAAAAGGUUCCUCACGGCACCUUAUACGCCACAGCAUAACGGGGUCGUUGAAAGGCGCAAUCUAACCGUCGUUGACAUGGCAAGGAGUUUACUCAAGAGCAAGAACCUGCCGGGGACCUUUUGGGGAGAAGCUGUCUCGACGGCAGUCUAUCUUCUCAACCGGGCUCCAACGAAGGCGGUGAUCGGCAAGACUCCGUAUGAAGCAAUUUACGGACGUAAGCCGAAUGUGUCUCAUCUACGGACGUUCGGGUGCGUGGCACAUGUGAAGACGGCGGAGCCGCACCUCUCAAAGCUUGCCGAUCGUAGCAUCAAGAUGGUGUUCAUCGGAUACGAGAGGAGUUCCGGCACCAAGGCAUACCGCUUCUACGAUCCACAAACCAGGCGUCUACAGAUUUCACGCGACGUCGUGUUUGAAGAAAACCAAGCGUGGAAUUGGAGUGUCGCAGCCGACGAUGCCCCAAACAGUAACAUAUUCAUGGUUGAAUUUCCAACUGAUGAUGAUGCAGGGGAGGAUGUUCAGGUGGUUGGUAAGACGCCCAACCAAGGUGACCACAAUGGUAGUGAUCAUCAUGGUGCCGACACCGACGAUGACGUGCAUAGGUCGCAAGGAGAUAAUGACAACGAAGCACACGAUACGGGUGGAGAUCUCGACGUCAACAUCAACAACGAGGCACAUAGUGACGACGACAAUCAAGAUGAUGGUCAUGAUCACGACGACUACGCCGACGAUGCGGAUGUCGAUGAAACGCUCGGAACUCAGCCAUCUUCCUCAAGUGCAUCAACAUCGACACAAUUUGUGUCACCUCCUUCGCAAGCUCCAACGGACUCCUCAGGGCCUCGUCGCUACAAGAUGCUCAAGAAAGUCUACAAGUACACAAAGCCAGUUACGCUCGAGUACUUCAGACUAUGUCUGUUCGGAGUUGAGGAACCGGCGAACUUCGUAGAGGCGAGCAAAAGCCGUAGUUGGACGCACGUCAUGGAUGAGGAGAUGAAGGCGAUUGAGAGCAAUGGCACGUGGACUUUGGUAACCCGACCUCCAAACCAGAAGGCAAUAGGUUUGAAGUGUGUUUACAAGUUAAAGAAGGACACUGAGGAUGCCACUGUGAAGUACAAAGCAAGACUCAUUGCAAAGGGCUACGUACAACGUCAAGGAGUUGACUAUGAUGAGGUGUUUGCACCGGUUGCUCGACUCGAGACGGUGAGAAUGCUCCUAGCUUUCGCAGCACAAGAGGAUUGGAAGGUUCAUCAUAUGGAUGUUAAAUCCGCUUUCCUCAACGGCGAUCUCACAGAAGAAGUGUACGUAGAACAACCCCUCAGCUACGAGAAGAAAGGCGAACAAGCGGAAGUUGACAAGCUCAAGAAGGCACUUUACGGGCUGAUGCAAGCGCCAAGAGCUUGAAAUUCAAAGUUAGACCAAAGUAUGGUCACGCUCAGGUUCAAAAGAUGUACCCUCGAUGAUCCGAAGGAUAGUCUACAAAGCACCGAAGAAGAGGUGAAGAUUGAAGACACGCCAAAAAAAGAGUGUUGUCAUCGAGCUACGGACGAGCCGACGAUAGUAAGGACGGUCUAUAAAAUGCUGCAAGGGACGGCAAAGGCCAUGCCAAUGAUAACAGUUAUGAGAAGCAGCAAUCGUGUUUGGGACCCAUGUCUAAAGUAAGGACAUCGUGAUUAGGGGGUGAAUGUGAGUUAAUCACGUUGCCCUGUACACAUAGGAUUAGAAAAAAAAAGCCAAACUGAGUCCUAGUAGUAUUAGGAUACCUAGUCCUAGUCUAUUUCCAUAGUCCCUUGUGGAUGUGUAUAAAAAGCACCCUAGGGGUGGUGCUUGUAACACCAGAUCAGAUAGCAAAGCAAUACAAAGUAUUACGACAGGCUCGACACGAGCCUGUGGCCAUCAACGAUUCAGUGCCUUCGCGUUUUUACGUUUUUGUUGAGAGAGCCGAGUUGAUCCGUUGCCGCGUGAUUGAUCCAAUCAACCGAAGCUAGCCGGCUGAAGCGUAUUCAUACACAAGUCUCUGGCUAGUUGCACGUACGUGUGUACAAGGGCUAAUCGAUCAAGCUGCUAGUAUGCUUGUUCGAGUUAGCUUUGCACGUACACAUACGUGGUGCUCCUGGAUGUUUUGAUCUACGGUUUAAAAACCAACAAAUGCAGAAGGCAAAUGGAGGACUCAGACAGCGUACCGCAGUUUCCUCACACUGACAAACGUACCAUCUCAAACAAUGGCUUCAACUUGGUUAGCACAGAACUUCGAGAUGAUGCUGGAGUGAUAGCAUGCAUUCUUACAAAAAGAACGAUGCACUUGUCAUAAUCUUCGGGAGGCUUGGCAGGUGGUCUAGGGACACAUAGCAUUCUGGUUGACUGCAAUACCACUUACAAAAAGAAGUUGAGUGCACGAUGGAAAUCCUUCUCUCCAUAAUCCACUCUUGUUCAGAACUGCAUUCUUUAGCAAAACAAUUACUGCUUGCAAAUUUCUCUCGACUCAAAAAUUUCCGCUACACUGACAUGUUCAUGAUCUGCAUGUGGUGCUUACAAAAGUUCCAUUGCUCUUGCAUUUGAUAGACAAGAUGACUAGCGCUCGAUAGUUUCUUAAGGCAAAAACAACUAGCCCACUCCCUAAUUUUCUUAACAAUAACUACAAACUGAGGCUCAAUAAGUCCCAAUGAAUCAAGGUCAUUAUCAGAGAUAAGUCGCAUGUGAACCAAAAUUAGUAAUACAAGAAUAGUAGUCAUCAGGGGGCUCACCAUAUUGUGCAGCUCCCCGAAACGUUUUCUAGGGUUUCGAGUGGAAAGGCGGCGCUCGGGCGACUUCCUCCUCCGAGGCGCGAUCGGAAGAUCUACCCCGCGUCCUUCCCUGCCGGGCCUUGUGCUGUACGGGAGGGAUCGGCGGCGAUGGCGAGCUCGUCUACGAAUGCUGCGAGAGAGAAAGAGGGGAUGGAGAAGAUGAUGGAGAAGAUGAACCUGACGGAUCGGGAGAGUGCAAAGCUGGUAGUUGAUGAUGAGGAUGAGAUGCAAGGGGAAUCGAUCUUGGGUGUGGUCGGAAAGGUCUUGAACAGGAGGGUUCUGCAUGUCAACACCAUUGAGGAGGCGCUGCGUCCGGCAUGGGGCAAUGUGCGAGGUCUCUGUUUUAGUCCGGCGGGGGACAACAUGUUCCUGGCAAGCUUCGAAGGCAAGAGGGAGAGAGAUAGGAUCUUUGAAGGGGGGCCGUGGAUGGUUGGAAAACAUGUCGUGGUACUGGAAAUCCUCGAUGCUAGGGCACGGCCCUCUGAUCUAAAGUUCGAGAUGAUGCAAAUCUGGGCUAGGGUAAUCAACCUACCCUUUAACCUGAGAUGUCCUCCAUGCCCGGAAAGAAUCGCAAAGUUAGUUGGGAAGGUGAUCAGGGUGGAUGUUGAUGCGAAGGGUUUUGCUUUCGGGGAAGCGCUGAGAGCGAGGGUGUGGAUAAAUGUCAAUGAGCCACUAAUAAGAUGGGUUCGGCUGGAAUCGGCAAAGACGAAAGAAGUGGUAUUUUAUGAUAUCCAGUAUGAAGCUUUUCCCUAUUUCUGUUUCUCGUGUGGUUGUCUUGGGCAUGCGGAUCUUUACUGUCCGACCCCGGCAGAGAGGGAUGCCAAUGGACGGCUCCCAUAUGGAGAAAACUUGAGAAUGCCAGUUCGCAAGAGGAGCUGGGAAAAUAUACCCAUGAGGGGUGGCAGGAACCCGACAGCUGGUCGGCAGGAAGAAAAGGGAGGAGAAGAAGAUGAAGUUGAGAAAGGAGAAGAAGUGACCUCUCCAGACAAGGCUAUUGAUGGCCGAGUGCAAGCAGCGGUAUACCAGUUUAAUGCCAGAGGUGGUGGACUAGGAAGAGGUGCUCCGUAUCAAAGGGGACGUAACCAUUCUAAUGGAAAGAACCAAGUAUACAGAAGGGUGAACAUGGAUGCCCAUCAAGGAGAUGUGGUGGAGAGGAGACAGACUCAGCUCAUGCUAGUUGAUCAGGAAACGCUGAACAAGAAACGAGCUAAUGAAGAAGAGCUGUCGAGCGAGUCGCGGACAGAUAGUAGGGAUUCAAAGAAGAAGAAAGCGGAGGGGGAAGCUGACACGUUGAUAUUGGCGGAGGCUGCUGAUCAGCCCCGCCAGGACCAAUGGAUUGCUUCGCUUGGAACUGUCGCGGGCUUGGGAACCCGGUGACAGUUCGUGAACUCCACCAUCUGGUGAGAGUGGAAGCGCCCGCCUUGGUGUUUGUUGCUGAAACAAAGAUCGAGGGUUCGAAAGUUGCAGACUUAACGAGGAGAUUGGGUUUUGCUGGAUGUUUGCUCGUAAGCAGUGUAGGCUUAAGUGGCGGUUUGGCCUUAUUUUGGUCACAAGAGGUGGAAGUAAAACUGAACAAUUGUUCUGAUCAACAUAUUGACGUGGAAGAACAGAAUGUUGGAUGGGAUCGGCNNNNNNNNNNNNNNNNNNNNNNNNNNNNNNNNNNNNNNNNNNNNNNNNNNNNNNNNNNNNNNNNNNNNNNNNNNNNNNNNNNNNNNNNNNNNNNNNNNNNNNNNNNNNNNNNNNNNNNNNNNNNNNNNNNNNNNNNNNNNNNNNNNNNNNNNNNNNNNNNNNNNNNNGGAAGACGUGGAGGUUUACUGGUUUUUAUGCCAAAGCUCGUCGUAGUGAGAGAGCCCAGAGCUGGGAUCUUCUCAGGAGUUUAAAAGUUCAGAGCUCUUUACCAUGGCUGUGUUGGGGAGACUUUAAUGAGAUAGUCAACAAUUCAGAGUACUUUGGUACACAUGACAGAACGGAGUGCCAGAUGGUAGGAUUUUGUGAGGCCAUAGAUGAUUGUGAACUCCAUGAUCUUGGGUUUAAGGGGACCCCGUUCACGUGGGACAAUCGGAGAGAGGGAGCAGCAAAUGUCAAAGUUAGGCUGGAUAGGUUUCUGGCCAAUCCAGAGUUUUUGUCUUUGUAUGAGGCAACAAGAGCGUGCCAUAUACCUUCACCAAGGUCUGAUCACUGUAUCGUAUCAGCUAAAAUAAAUCAUGUGAACGCUGAGGAUAGGAGGGGGAGGCCCCGGUUUAUCUAUGAAGAUGCUUGGCACAGGGAAGAAUCGUACACAUCCGCGGUGUAAAAUGGCUGGGAGCAGGGGGGAGGACACCUCUCCCUUUGGGGUCUCCAAACUAGAUUAAAACAUAUGCAAAGCCAUCUAACCGACUGGAAAGAAAAGAAGUUUGGUGAUGUGAGAAGAAAAUUAAAGAAAGUGAGGAAAGAGUUUGAAAAGGAAAAAAGCAGCUCCCUAUACCGAGGAUCUUCAGAUCGGGAGAAGGAGUUGGCAAAGCAGCUGAAUGAGCUUUUGUUGAGGGAGGAGAUCAUGGCACGCCAAAGAUCCAGGGUGAACUGGUUGAGGGAGGGCGAUCGUAAUACUGGAUUUUUUCAUGCACAGUCAAAAGCUCGACGGAUGCGCAAUAGCAUCACAGCCUUGGUGGAUGCGCAAGGCCAACUGUGUGACAGCAAGGAGGCAAUACACGAGGAAAUACAACAGUUUUACACUAACCUAUACGCUGCACAGGAAGUUCUCGUACCGGAGGAGGUGUUGCACCAUGUGCCGGCAAAGGUAACAGUGCAAAUGAAUGAGAGACUCACCAGGGAAUAUCAGGCCGAUGAGAUUCGGAAUGCUUUGUUUGGUAUGGCUCCGUCAAAAGCACCUGGGGAAGAUGGGUUUAAUGCUGGCUUCUACCAGAGGCAUUGGGGAUUGGUAGGUGAUGAUGUGACAAAGGCAGUGCUCAAUUUCUUAAAUGGGGGCCAAAUGCGAGGGGAGGUAAAUAGGACAGUGAUUGUCCUCAUCCCAAAGGUUAAAAAUCCUCAAAACAUAACUCAAUACAGACCUAUAUCCUUGUGUAAUGUUAUUUAUAAACUUUGCUCUAAGGUUCUGGCUAAUCAUCUUCGUGAGAUUCUUGAUGAGAUCGUCUCCGAAGAACAAAGUGCCUUCGUACCAGGGAGGCUCAUCACAGACAAUAUCCUUACAGCUUAUGAGUGUAUCCAUGCGAUGAAGAGGAAGAAAGGGAAGCAGGGGUGGUGUGCCGUUAAAAUUGACAUGAUGAAAGCAUAUGAUCGGGUAGAGCGGGACUAUCUGCAAGGGAUCAUGAGUCAAUUGGGUUUCUGUGAGAGAUGGAUAUCUAUCAUAAUGAAAUGUGUCAAGACAGUCUCUUUCUAGGUGAAGGUGAAUGGAGAGCUACUACAAAGUUUCAUUCCAACGCGGGGGUUGAGACAAGGAGACCCAAUCUCUCCUUAUUUGUUCCUCCUAUGUGGAGAAGGCCUGUCAUGCAUGUUAAAGAAUUAUGAUGGCGGUUGGAUUGAUCAAGGGAUCCGGGCAGGCCAGAGAUCUCCUUGGGUGUCACAUUUGCUCUUUGCAGAUGACUGUUUGGUUUUUAUGAAAGCGGACAGUAGGAGUGCAACUCGGAUGAAUGAAAUCUUAAGUGCAUACUGUAUUGGGUCAGGCCAAAGUGCCAAUAAGCAUAAGAGCUCAGUGUUCUUUAGUCCAAAGUGUGGGGCUUCAACAAAACGUGGAGUGCGGAAUGUUCUGCAGAUACAGAGAGAAGCACUGACAGAGAAGUAUCUUGGUCUGCCGACUGCUGCAGGGAAGAUUACAGAGCAGAAUUUCGAACACAUUGUGGAAUCAGCAAGAUCAAAUGUUCAGGGGUGGAGUUUUAGGAAAGCAUCUUGUGUAGGGAGAGAGGUGCAUAUCAAAUCUGUAGUCCAAGCUCUGCUUGCUUUCUCUAUGAGUUGUUUUAAACUAACAAAAGGGUUGUGCCGAAAGUUGACGACAGUUAUGUCCAAAUACUGGUGGAGUGGUUCGCUAGAUAAGAAAGGGAUGCAUUGGCAAGCAUGGUCGAGCAUGGCGACCCCAAAAGCGCAGGGAGGAAUUGGAUUCCAUGAUCUCGAGCUGUUCAAUGAUGCCUUGUUGGCAAAGCAAGCAUGGAGACUGAUGAGUUUCCCAGAAUCUUUGUGUUCACGGGUGUUGAGAGGGAGAUAUUGUGUGGAAGGUGACUUCUUACAGGCCGCAUGCCCUGCCAAUUCCUCGCGUACUUGGUGGGCAAUCAUACAGGGGAGGGAGGUUCUGAAGAAGGGGCCGAUCCGCAGGGUGGGAGAUGGCCGCACUACUGAGAUUUGGCAUGAUCACUAGAUAGCGGGAUCACCUUCGAUGAAGCCAGUCUGCAGGUUGUCUGAUGAACCUGUGCAGCUUGUGUCGGAUCUGCUACAGGAAGACACCGGGGAAUGGAAACGAGAGUUGCUCCAAAGAUUGUUCCUACGAUCGGAUGUGGAGGCAAUCAUGAAUAUGCCUAGACCAAGGAUUGUCGUUGAUGAUUUCUGGGCGUGGGCAUGGGAUCGUUCGGGUAUUUUCUCGGUCAAGACAGCUUACAGAGAGCUGAAGCGUCGACAGACUGAGAUGCAAGGGGUUCCCAGCAGCUCGGCUGGUGAUGAGGAAAUAUGGAAAAGCUUGUGGAAGCUCAAGGUUCAACCAAAAAUUCGGGUGUUCUAGUGGAGGGUGAUCAAGGGCUUUCUGCCGGCAAGGGCUGAGCUCGUCAGGAGACAUGUAGGAGAAGUUGCUACAUGUGCACUAUGUGGCAAUGAGGAUGAAACGUUGUUCCAUACCUUUGUUACUUGCAACCAGGCGACACAAUUCUGGACGGAAACACUUCGGUUCUUUGGGGUAAAACUCCCAAGGUUAUACCAAGCGACAUGGACCAGGGACCUACUGGAUCCAAGGUUUAUCGCCAAGGAGGACGCAGCGGUGAUCAUCUCUGUUAUGUGGGCUAUAUGGGGUAGCCGCAACAAAUACACACAUGGUGAGACAAUGUUUCAACCCUUAGAUCGAUGGAGAUCAUCCAGGAGCACAUCAGAUCACUCUACAUCCCAGCCAAACAGCAUGCUAGUCCAAAGGUGAUGGAGCUUUGGAUGAGACCGGAGGUGGGGGUGAUCAAGAUUAACUCCGAUGCGGCAAUUGAUGCAAUGGGUGGACGAGCAGGCACCGACGUGGUUGCAAGGGAUCAUGAAGGCAGAUUCAUUGUCGCAAAGUUCAGCCCAUAUGUUGGUAUUACUGACCCCUAUGUUAGUGAAGCUUUGGGAUGCAGAGAUGCUAUGAUUCUAGCCAAGGAGAGACGCUGGCCAUUCAUUCAAAUCUCAACAGACUGCAAGACAGUGGUAGAAGACUGGAAUGGAGGAAGGGACCGUUCUAGUUGUGGUCCCAUUUUUAGAGAGAUGUCCUCAUAUCUCUCGUGUUUUCAGGGUGUCGAAUUAAAGUUUAGUGGAAGAGAAGCAAAUGUAGUAGCUCAUAUGUUGGCAACAAGAGGGCUCUUCACUGAGAUGCAUAGUGUAACUAUGGAUGUUAUCCCUAACUUUCUGAGUGCGGCUGUGCACUCAGAUUAUGUGCGGCCUUGGAUUAAAUAAAAUGCCUGAGGGCCAUAUCUAAAAAAAAGGGGGGCUCACCAUUAGGUAGUUUUGGGCACAAUUUUCAGCUGGGCAUCAAUUAAUCGCCCGAUCACAGAGUAGCUCUUGCCACCGAAAGGAUCCAGCAAACAAUCUUCUUCGAAGAACAUGGUGUCAGGUGCACACUUGGUAGAUACGUCCAAUAUGCUCUCAGAUAUGCAAUGCUCCAAAAUUUCCAACGCAAUGACAUGCUCAAGACCAACACUGCUCGGCAAUCACAUGAAAAUGAUGGCCAAGGUGGCUUCAGCUAGGAUUGUGUCUUCACUGAACUUGGACAUAGGCCAUGGCUCAAGUUGCAUAGUGUAGCCUGCACUGCAUUUUGUUGCCCUUCCCAUGAUUGUAGAUCUAUUCCCACACAAGAAGUGAAUCAAUAGUAUAUGCCAAGAGUACAGUCUGAACAACAACAUUAGCAAACAAAACUGGAAAUUGAACCCUCAUGCUUGUAACAGACAAGUUCAUACAGCCCAAAUUGCAUGAACCGAAGAAACUUUUGUGCUUCAAUGUUCCUUGCUUAGAGCAACCAUUUUCUGCUUGCUCAGAAAUAGAUGUCCAUCCGUGAUUGUUAGAUUGGAGUGCUGCACAGGAGGAGCCAUAGUAAUAGAGCAAGCACACACUAGUAAAACGGGGCUUUAGUCCCGUUUCGUAAGGGCCUUUAGUCUCGGUUAUUAUUGCUGAAAUUAUUACAGGGUCUAUAUAGAAUAAGGCCAUUGCUAGCAGUUGACAAAAUGUUUAAAAAUGGUAAUGACAUAAGUUACGGCACGCAUGCACAAUACAACUUGAUGUUGAGGCACUCCGUUGCACAAUGCUGCUUACUGAUGUGAUCGGCACUGGGCAAGUUAUUUGAAUUUUUGUCUAAAAGGACCCCUUGCCGAGUACAUUUGUCGGAAAGGACCAGCUGUGGACGAAAGUGGCAGAAAAGACCCCCAUCCACCGUGGCGGCAGGCGUGUCAGGCGACACGUGUCACCUGCCGCCACGGCCCGAGGCAGCUGGGGCCUGCCGCCAUGGCGCGAGGCGGCCGGCUGAGAUUUCCGUUUCAACAUAGCCGCGACGGAACGGCUAGGCAGUGGUGGGACAUGCCGCCACGAGAGGAGGCGGCCAGGCGGGCCCUGCCGCCUCGGCAGCCGGCGGCCUGUUCUGUGCAUGACGGUGCUAAUUCCCACCUGCUGACAGCGCUGAUUCCCACGCUGUCGGCUGAUUCCCACGCAGUGUGCACCGUCGAAAUUUUUCCCGCUCUCCACCGACAAAACAGUGCCAAAAUUUUCUGUAUAAAGGAGCUGCGUCGCUGCCUCCUCUCUCACUCGUUUCUCUUCUUUGCUUGAACCCACACUGCUUCUCUUUCUCACUCUCUUCUCUUUCUCUCAAGAACUAGUCCAUACGACGGUUUAAGUGGCGAUUUAGGACGGUUUAAAGUUAGAUUUUGAAGACGUUGUAGUUGAAGAAAAGAUAGAUCAAGGUAAGUGUUUUCCAUUCAUGUUGGUCGUGUUUGCAUGCAUGAUGUUUUUAUUUUGUUUGAUUAGUUUCUGAGUAGUAUGUGUUUAUCUUUUGUCUUAGGGAGUGUAUUAUCACUUUUGUGGAACUAUUUUAUCAUGCGAUAUGAACUACUAAGUUGAAGAUCAAGGUAUGAGACUCUGUUCAUCUUUGUGUUCAUGUGAUAAUAGGUCGACUCUGUUUAUAUAUUACCGAUGAUUUGUUCGUAUUUGCAUGCAACUGGUAUUUAGAAAGGAGCUGGAAAAAUGUGUAUCUAACUAGCAUUUUUGUUAAAAACAUGUAAUAAUAUGUUAGCUCCAUUAGUAUUAUUACAUGCAAGACGCAUGUGUAAUAUAUUUGUUUAUGUGAUAAUUUGUCAACCCCGUAGAAAUAUGACUCGUGAUAUAUAUAUAUGCAUGCAGUAUGUAUUUUUAGACUUUUGCUAGCACGGAAAUAAUUAUGUGUGUAAUAUUUUUGUUCAUUUGAAAAUAGGUGGAAUUCGCUGAUAUUAUUCUGGUGAUAUUUUAUAUUCGGAAGGAUAUCCUUAUUUAAACCAGAGGUAUGAAUGACAUAUUGUAAUUCAUCUUCUAUUUAUUUUAUAGAUGUAGUGUCACGAUAAAUGAUACAAUAUAAAUUAUUAUGCGUAGAUGUACAAUCGUCUGUGAGUAUUUGUUAAAUUGUUAUAUGUAAAAAAGAUAAGUAAUGGAUGUUGUUAUUACAAUGUAAAUAUAAUAAUAUGAUUUUUAAUGGACUAACGAUUUAAAUAUGGCUGCUCGUUAGGUACUAUGGAAAAUUUGUUAGUGUUUUAUGGGCACAUCGUACGUGAGGGUCCUUCUGGUAUGGAUGUGUCUAGGUGCGGGAUGACUACGGUUGUAGUGAAAGACAUGGUUAAUGUAGAGUAUGCGACAGUUAGAAGGUGCAUCCAAGCGGUGUUUGGUUCAGCGAUGAAUGGAAAAAAAUGACCAUGGAGGCUUUCGUGGUUGAGGGAGGAAAUCGUUGGGUUCUGCGACGGGUUACUAGUGAAAGAGCAUGGGCGUCGUACAUGGGUUUUGCAAGCAAUCCCAAUAACUCCAUGUAUGGACAACCCAUGGUUUAUGUGGAGUUCAUUUCUGCUAGUGAUGUCGCCGAGUGCAGUAGCGGUGCCGGUGAGGCCGAGUUGGCCAUAACUGUAGCCCCCGACGCCGACCCAUCGGAACCAAGUGGUGGCCAACAUAUGGCCAUAACUGUAGCCCCCGACGCCGGCCCAUCGAAACCAACAGGUGGCCAACAAGUGUAUGACACGGGAUAUUGGUCUGCGGUCGUUGACAUGAGCGAACAUGUCGAGGGAUUGCCGGAGGCGCUAGAUGAUGACGAUGAUGGUCAUUCUUCUUCCUCUUUGAAAUCAGAUGAUGAUGAAGUUGUUCCUCCUGAGAAGGCGGUCGCUGCAGCAAUGGACCCAGAGUUUUUACAGGUUAUGAGCAUCACCAAUGAAUUUCACUCUGUUGCUGGCCUAGACGCGGGGAGUUUGGCCGUUGGACAGAUUUUCCCAGAUAAGAAAUCUGCUAAACAAGCAAUACAUAGCUAUGCAAUUGCUAUACACAGGCAACAUAGAGUGAAGCACUCUGAUAAAAAGGAGUUGAAGCUCAUAUGCAUCCAUCGCGAAGCGGGUUGCCGCGGAAGAGUUAUUGCUCGCCAGAAGCCUAGGGUAUGUCAGCCAUGGCAUGUCACAAAAAUAGAGCAACAUGGUUGUGAGCAAACCGGCACUCUUUCAGAGCACCGCAAUGUGACUGCAGAAUAUGUGUCACACGUGAUGCAAACCAUUGUGCAGCAAAGUCUUAAUAUUAGUAUUAGGGCUUUGCGUGCAACUGCAUCUGAUCUAAUUGGUUUCCUUGUCAGCUAUAGCAAGGCUCGUCAUGCAAAGGAAAAUAUAUUUCAGAGGUUGUAUGGAACCUAUGAGGAGGCGUACUCUUUUGCCCCUAGAAUGUUGCAUCAGAUUUCAGUUGCUAACAGGGGGACUCAAGUUUUCCGGAAAGAACGUCCAAAUCCAUUGAACCCGGAUGAGCAAAUUCUGGACCGCUUAUUCUGGGCAUUCGCCCAGACUAUACAAGCAUUCAAGCAUUGUCGUCCGGUUGUAUCAAUUGAUGGUACAUUUCUCACUGGAAAGUACAAGGGCACACUUUUAGUGGCGAUGGCAGCUGAUGCAAACAAUCAACUUCUUCCUAUUGCCUAUGCACUAGUGGAGAGCGAAAAUAAACAUAGUUGGCUAUGGUUCCUGUGUUGCCUGAAGAUGGGUGUCAUCAAAGAUCGGGAAGGGGUUUGCAUCAUCUCUGAUCGCAACACCGGACUAUUAAGCGCGCUCGAGAUAAUUAAGGCUUCACAAGAUCCAGAUUGGGGGUGGCCCGAUCUGGAGACAAGGUGGUGCAUGAGGCAUUUGGCAGCUAAUUUUUAUUCGAAAUUCAAAAACAAAGAUUGGUUCAAGCUAUUCAAGAGGAUGUGCAUGCAGAAAACUGCAGCAAAAAUGAAUGCUAUCUGGGCAGGUAUCAAUGGUCAGAUCGAGCGCGCAUCCCUCCCGGCGAGAGAAGACCGGAGGGGUCAUCAAACAGCAAUAAAUUUGAGCCAGUGGAUUAAUGAGAAUUGUCCCAAUUUGUACAAGUGGGCGCAGUCUCAGGACACUGGCGCUAGAUACGGUAUAAUGACAAGCAACAUGUCCGAGGUGUACAAUGGUGUUCUUAAAGGGGUGAGGGCACUACCUAUCACAACACUAAUUGAUGCAACUUGGAACCGGACUGUGUCAUACUUUGCAGAUAGAGUCACCGUUGCCAAGGCAUUAGUUGAUUUGAACAAGACCGUCUUAGAAGAUGCAAAGACAUCUUGAUGACAAAGCAAAGAAGUCGCAAAGACAUGGGUGCAGGCAGGUAGAUGCACUUAGGAAUAAAUGGGAAGUUAGUGUGCGAGCAAAGUUUGUUAAGGGUCACCACAGGGGAGCAAAAAAACAAGCUGUGACGCUUGGCGCAACCUCGUGUGAGUGCACUUGCAACAAGCCCGAGCUUCUGGGAUAUCCUUGCAGUCACAUAUUGCGGGCAGCUGCAGAUCAAUAAAUUAGUGUCGAGCCAUACGUAUCACCAUACUUCAACAUGCACAAUUCGUACAACACUUGGAACGGUGAGUUUUGGGCAUGGGGCAUUGAUAUGAAGUACAAGCAAUUAUGGCCAGAAGGGACCACAUGGGUUCCAGAUCCCGCAUUGAUGCGAACCAGCAAGGGACGGCGUCAGUCUAGGCGUCAUCGCAAUGACAUGGACCACAGCCAGUUAGGAGAACCAAGGCGAUGCCGCGUAUGUAGGUGUGCUGGUCACCCGCGUAGGGAGUGUCUGUAUCGUAACAACAACACUGCGUGAUAUGUAAUCAUGCUAUGUAUUUUAAUUUCANNNNNNNNNNNNNNNNNNNNNNNNNNNNNNNNNNNNNNNNNNNNNNNNNNNNNNNNNNNNNNNNNNNNNNNNNNNNNNNNNNNNNNNNNNNNNNNNNNNNNNNNNNNNNNNNNNNNNNNNNNNNNNNNNNNNNNNNNNNNNNNNNNNNNNNNNNNNNNNNNNNNNNNNNNNNNNNNNNNNNNNNNNNNNNNNNNNNNNNNNNNNNNNNNNNNNNNNNNNNNNNNNNNNNNNNUUUAAUUUCAUCGUGCUGUAUAUUCGGAAUAUUUAAUUUAAUUUCAUCGUGCUGUAAUAUUCCGAAUAUUUAAUUUAAUUUCAUUUCAUUUCAUCGUGAUUGCAGGUUAUGGCGGAAAUGCCCCAGCUUUUGAAUGGUUAUCACGACAACCACCACCGUUGCCAGCUUUUCAUAAAUCCAAAUCAUGAAAAUCCUCCUCAGACCUUCCGGCUUCGAAUUGUAAAGACGCCCAUCGGUUCCUUGAACACCUUGAGGCUUAUGGACUCCUUCAUUUUGCGAACAUCGCAGCUCGUCGAGGUAGUUUUAUUGCCCACCCAUCCCUUUUGACAUCCCUCGUUUAUAGAUGGAGACCGGAGACCCACACAUUUCACUUUCGAUGUGGAGAGCUUGCACCUACUCUAAAAGAUGUGUCAAUGAUCACAGCUUUACCAAUUAGAGGUGUGCUAGUGGUACAUCCACGAGUUUCUCCUAAUUGGCCAGCAGAUGUCUCUGGCCGUCUGAGGCUCGAAAUGCCCAUAUCAGAUCGUUCUGGUCCGCCUCGAGGUGUCCCACUCAGCUGGCUUCGUAUUAACUUCGAAAUUUUAUCUACCCAUGCUGAUUCUGAGACAACGAAGAGACACUUGUUUGCAUAUUUGUUGUGGCUCUUUGGUGUCAUGUUUCCUAAUUCUCACGGAGAGGUAGUUUUGCCUGGUCUCAUCUAUUUUGCCGCAAAGAUAGUAGACGAACCUUUACCCCAAAAUCCACCAUAUAGCUUUGGUUCUGCUUUGCUUUCUCACACAUACCGAGGGUUGUGUGAUGCCACUCAAAAAACUGCAUUCACAUCUAAAGCUCCAUUACUUUGUGUCUCCUACGAGUUUCUACAGUUGUGGUCCUGGGAAUACUUACCUGUAGGACGACCGUAGAUAGUAGAACCCGCAACCCCGUACAACUAUGGUGAGGGUGUUGUAACUAUGUCCAGCCGGUGGAUGCUGGGUCGAAAAAAAUGGUCUACUAAAAUUGCAAAAAAUUGUUACCCCAUAUACCAUGAUCAGUUUGAGCUUCUUAACGACUCACUAAUAACAUGGAACCCGUGGACUGAGGCGCACAUUGAUAUGGUAUUUGGUUCGCAACACAUGCCAGUGGAAUGCGUGAGAGAUAGUGCCUUCUGGAUGAAUCGCUGCAAUUUACUCUAUCUAUGGUUUGUGGAACCGUACAAUCCUAACCGUGUCAUGGGACAGUUCGGUCUAUAUCAAGAUAUUCCACCACCGGUUCCAAGAUGUAUCGACGAAGAAACUCAUAAGUAAGUAAGAUGUGACCUAGCUAAAUACAUAUUCCAUCACCUAUUCUUGAAUUUUUUUUUAUCUAUAAUUACAGGAUGAGCAACAUGGGCAGAUCUGGUGUGGACUGGAAUGCAGAAAACAUUCAAUGGAUAAAUCAGUGGAAUAAUGAAGCUCUACAAAAUAUAGUGCCUCAGCAACGGUAAUUUUACUAAUGUUAAUUUAAUUAUGUGCUUAUAAAAUACAGAAUGUGAUGUAACUUUACUAAUGUUAAUUUAUUUAUGCAGAACGUACGAUGCAACUACGACAGAAGUGUAUUAUAAUUGGUAUCGCAUGAGCACGCGUACUAGACUGACGAGUGAACCACCUACUAUGCCAACACAUCCAACGCAUAUGGAACAGUUGCAGAGACGGAUGGACACAUCAUCAGCUUACUAUCGUGACUCCGCGGUAAUAAUCUACAUCUUGCUAUUCAGGUCCAUCAUUUCAUGAACAAUUCAACCAACGAACAACGAUUUUUUUCAGAUUCAUAUUUGCACCCAAGUACAAGCGAUGGCGGGGGAAGGAAUGCGAGACCAGGGAAUUGAUCCUAAAGGCAGGUCCUUCUUUAAAAAAGUUAGCGAAUUCGUCAGCACAAGGUUUACGAGAUGCGGUACAGAGAACGAUGUUGUCACUGCAGCGUACAACAUUCUGGAACCGAGUGAGGCGUCGUCGUCGUCCAUGCGGUGGGGAGAGGGUCCUAAUACUACGCCGACACUUCCACGACAUGACUCGUCUCUACCAAUACAUGGGCAGACAUCACAGGUAAAUGCUCCAGAUUUAGGUUCGACGCCCGAACAGACUCAUUUCAUGGAGCAGGAUGCAUAUACAGCAUAUGACGCACACACUCAAGGAUCUCAGCCAUAUCUGCCCACGCGAGGGAUUAGGAUGCCCGAGGAGAAUCGUUGGGCUGAGACAAGCGAGGGAGCACAAAGCUACAACAACGGUCAGGUAUGUACAAUUAUAAUAAGCAAUUACAUAACUUCUAUUUACACAUCCUUUUUUUACACACAGUUUAUUUUAAACACAAUUUUUCGUGGAGCAGGAAAUUAAUGAUCCAUCAUGGGGAGAUGAACAUACCCAGCAUGGCGUACAUAAAGAAAUACUCACAGAAAACCAUGAUACUCAAUGCACGCUCCCAGGAAUGAUAAAUGAUUUUUUCGGGCAGGACGUUAUUGGUCCAUCUUAUAUCAAUUCUGAGUCACAGCCAUUCACCUACAAUUUAGAAUCAUCAUCUCAAUAUGGAGUUCAGACUCCACCACCUAUGCAUGAAUCGCAGACACAGGAACACGAGGGACAGUACGGUCGUGGUCUUCGUGAACACAGACCCCCUGAACGAUUGUCACCCUCCGGUCGUCGGGCAAGGCCAGCUGGUCAUCGUCGCAUAGGGUGAUUCGUCUAUGUAUGUGUGCGAACUAUUGCAUCUCUCUAUGUCAGCUUCAAACUUUCAGAUAUACGUACAAGACAUCUAUGUAGUUUCAUGAAAUAAAAGUUCUCGAUAUAUUUAAAGUUGCUUCCAUAAAAUAAGAUACAUAAAAUAAGAUACAUAAAAUAAGAUUCAUAAAAUAACAUACAUAAUAUAAGAUACAUUAAGAUAUAGAGUUCAUAAAAAAACUACAUAAAGUCGUCGUCAUCCUUCGACGAUGCAGAGCUCUCGCCCUUUGACGAAGCGCUACUCUUGGCCUUCGUCGAUGAUGCGCUCUUGGCCUUCGUCGAUGAUGCGCUCUUGGUACUCGGCAUGAAGAUAUCGUCUUCGUCCUCACUAUCGUCAAUCCAUAAAAAGGGAUGUUUUACUCCACCUCCACCGCGCAUGUGUUGGCCUUUCUUCUUCCAUCUUUCAUUCAAUCGCAGAAGUUCUUUCCGAAUCUCCUCAUAUGUCCUUGCAGGCCACCCCUUCCUAGCUAAUGCGUGGGCAACCUCAUUCAGUAGCGUGUCACUACUGAUGAGUUCGUCCCAUGAAACUAUUCUAUUAUCUAUCUUGAAAUUGCUAGCUAAGCGCAGAAGACACUCGGACAUACCAAUGUGAAAACUACGAUCGAAAGGAUAAUGAGACAUUUUCAGCACACUCCUUACCAACCUUGGUCUGGAGGGGGUCUUAUAGGUGCAGCAGAGCGAGACGAAUAACUAAUGGCGGGAAAACGAGGAGGGAAAGCGAGGCUGGAAAGCGAGGGCGGGAAAGCGAGGGCAGGAAAGCGAGGGCGGGAAAGCGAGGCGGGAACAAAAUGGCAGCAAAGCUAUACGCGGGGAAAAAAUGGCGGGAAAGCGAGGCGGGAAAUAAAUGGCGGGAUAAAAUGAACAUACACGUAGCUCAAAUUAAGAUACCCAUUGCGGAAAAUAAGAUACACAUUGCUGAAAAUAAGAUACAAUUUGCCGAAAUUAAGAUACAACUUGCAGAAAUUAAGAUACAACUAACAGAAAUUAACAUACAAUAAAAUAAGUCUACUGAGUCCAACGUGAAUAUUUUCCUUUUCCAUCACCAGCUUCUUCUGCUGCCUUGGCGGCACGAGCCCUUUCUCUCUUUCUCUCCUCCAGCCGAAGUUUCUCUUCUUGAUUUUUCCUUUUCAUCUCAUCAAGAAAAGCCCUCUGCUCCACACAGUAAUCUUCCCACUCUUUCUUCUGCUCUGAUUUCUCCUCUGCUUCAGCCUUCUCACAAUGCUCUUCCAAGUCCAAGCUAGCCCAUGCACGUCGACCUCUUUCACGAAUCUCGGUCACCGCCCAGUCCGGCAUUUCCGUGUCAAUCCAACGAUAGUACAUGCAGAGAGGAGGAGGAGACUAAAGGAUGGAUCAGAUUCAAGUAAACAAUAAUAUCAAAUAACAAUAAUCUGGAUGACUUGAGCAUACCGGAGGCCUGACGUACGCAGAAAUAGAUUCGGGUGGAUCAGAUUCAUUAUUGGCGCACAUGAAAAACUUCAUGCCCAACCAAUCUGAAAAAUCCGUCACCUUCUUCACCUUGCAGACAUCUCCGCACCAACAUCGAACUGCUUCCACCCCCCGAGGCAAGCUUGCACUCUACAUUUUCCUAGGUCUAAUGCUCUAAUCCGAACAAGGCAAACUCAUACUGACUAUGGAGGUGCAGGUGCUAUGGAGGUGCAGGUGCUUUGAAGUCUGGCUGAUGGUGAAGAGAGUUUCACUCCCUGCCUCCUUUUAUAGGCUCUGCCGGAUGUCUACGCGGGAAAAAAGGGCGCGAAAACGAGAAACUUCAGUGGGAAACUUAGGCGGGAAAAUAACGCAGGAAACUUAGGCGGAAAAAAAUUGCACUGCUCGUCCGUCGUUAUCGCGUGCAUGUGGCGGGAACAAAUACAGCAGACAGCCUCAGUUAGUGCAAUCAGCCUUUAGGCCCUGCUUGGAAUGCCGUUCUAUUUUUACAAGUGCAAUACUUUACAAAGGUGUGUAUUAUUUUUACAAGUGUACUCCCUCCGUUCCUAAAUAUAAGUCUUUUUAGAUAUGUUACUAGAUGACUACAUAAAAAGCAAAAUGACAGAAUCUACAUUGUAAAAUAAGUCCAUAUACAUCCAUAUGUAGUCUUGUAGUACAAACUCUUAAAAGACUUACAUUUAGGAAAUCUCCCUCCGUAAAAAAUAACUCCAUCCGUUCCUAAAUAUAAGGCCUUUUAGAGAUUGUACAAUAAACUACAUACGGAUGUACAUAGACAUCUUUAGAGUAUAGAUUCACUCAUUUUGCUCCGUAUGUAGUCUUCUAGUGAAAUACCUAUAUUUUGGAACGGAGGAACUACAUCCAAUACCGCAUGCAAGUUAGAGCGGGAAGUUAGCGCCGUUUGCCCAGACAGCAGCCUCGUAGUCAGCGAAAUCAAAGUCCCUGUCACAAGCAGCGCAGAUUCGGCCGGCCGCCGGGGCUGGUGGCGGCAGGGCNNNNNNNNNNNNNNNNNNNNNNNNNNNNNNNNNNNNNNNNNNNNNNNNNNNNNNNNNNNNNNNNNNNNNNNNNNNNNNNNNNNNNNNNNNNNNNNNNNNNNNNNNNNNNNNNNNNNNNNNNNNNNNNNNNNNNNNNNNNNNNNNNNNNNNNNNNNNNNNNNNNNNNNNNNNNNNNNNNNNNNNNNNNNNNNNNNNNNNNNNNNNNNNNNNNNNNNNNNNNNNNNNNNNNNCAGCUGGUGGCGGCAGGCCCCAACCGCCUCGGGCGGUGGCGGCAGGACCCACAGCCGCCUCGGGCGGUGGCGGCAGGUGCCACGUGCCGCCUGGCGCGCCUGCCGCCACCCGGGGAGCUGGUCCUUUCCCUUUUUAGCACUCGCAGGUGGUCUUUUCUGGCAUUCACGUUCGCGAGGGGUCCUUCUGGACAAAAAUUCAAGUUAUUUUUGUUACGGUGUGUGUUACGCUCUUGCCUCUUUGGGUCCUGGCGCCACGGAUGUCAUGCCAAGUGGACGAUGGGUGUACCAUAAUUUGUGUCCCCUUUCCUCAGAGGUGAUUUUGCAGUGUCUUAGUGGAUUAUACUCCAUUCCAAAAAUAUAUUUCAAAAGAGUAAAAGGAAUCUUUGAAUACCAUAUAUGGAGUUAGCUAGCUCCAAGUCUACGUGUUCAUUCACCCUUUCCAAUUGUAUAAUGUAAUAGAUUAGAAUAGUGCGAGGUGGGCACCUGAUAAAGGCAUAUUACGCGGCAAAUAUAUGGCUUUACUAGGAAUAAAUGCAAAGAUAUCAAAUUAAACUGGUUAGAGAUGUGCUAGUAAAAUAAUGUUCUGGGCCAACGAGGCACCUUUAUGUC
rnacentral:lncRNA from 1 species